rnacentral:lncRNA from 1 species
UCCAAUUCUUUCAGACGUGGGAGAGGCAAGGGUUUCCAGUAAAUGCUCUUCAAAUUGCGCAGUCGCUCUAACCGAAGACGCUGGAGUUUUGCUAAAGGGCUGCUUAUUAUUCCCGUCAUCUCAGGAAUGUCAUCAAACUCUCCAGCACUGAUUAUUUCUUCCAUGUGAUCGCAAUAGCGUACGGAAAUAGACUUGAGGUUUGGAGCAAAAACGAGGAAUGUCAAGUGUUUCAAAUUUCUGCAACUGUCUACGGUAACUUCCUCAAGGCUGCGGAAAACAUAAGGUUGGCGCGAUUUUUGUACCAUAUAUUUGUAGUCAAUCUUCAGUCCCUUAAUCCAAUCACAAGAACGAAAGUAUAAUGUAUUGAGCUGCUCUAGAUCUGCUAAAUGUGCAACAUCAAUCGACUCCUCCCUACCGAACUCAUCGAGCAAGAGAGCUUGGGUACAACGUCGUAACUUCUGUGAGCUCAAAAAUGUUUGGUAAGCCUUAAAACUCCUGAAGGUGAUCUCCAGUACCUCUAAAUAUUUCAAACCGAGCAAUUCCUCUGCUACAUUCUCAUACCUAGAGCUAAACGGUCUGUCAAAUGAUAAAAGACCAACACCAAUACCAAGCAUUCUCAACACACGUAACCUUGAAAAAUUAGAUAACAGUUGCUGUGGAACUUCAACUAACUUGGCUGCCCAGUCCAAAUUCAAACAUUUAAGAUUUACCAACGCUUUUAACUCUUCGGGUAACUCUGUAACGCUUGUAUUUGAAAUAUCAAGGAGUUGUAGUGAAACCAACUUUGAGAUCCCCAUUGGUAACUGCCGUAGCAUUAUAUUAUCUGACACCUUCAAAACUGUUAGACAAGGCAUAGAAUGGAAGAAGCCACCGGCGAUCGUCGUCAACUUAUUAUCGUUAAGAAACAAAGUAAGAAGACGAGGGCAUGUAGGAACAGUUGGUAGAUUUUUAAUUGAAUUUUUCAUCAAUGAUAAUCUUCUCACCAUUUCCCAUCCUCUGACAUCUGCAGGUGCCUCCGUUAAUCCGGAACCUGCAUAAACCAAAAAGCCCUCCUUCUCCUUCUCAAUCUCACAAGUUAUCCACAAUGCCAUAUCGCGGAUGACGUCAUGCAUUUUUACUUGAUCAUCUUCUACCUCUUCCAAUAAACAUGCAUGAACUAGAGUGGCCACGAUGUAGUAUCCUUGGUUUUGUGUGCCAAACUUGGCUUCAUCCAAAAACCCCUCGCAAAUCCAGCAAUCAAUCAAGUCUCUUUUAUAUAUACUGUAAUCUUCUGGAAAUAAACAACAAUAUAAGAAACAAGAUCUGAUUGCAUCGUUUGGCAAGCAAUCAUAGCUGAAUUUUAAAAGAGGAUAUACCUCCUUUUCCAAACCUGCAAAUUUGGAAGCUGAUCUUCUUAAAACUUCAAUCGCAUAUCUCCAUUCUUCAGGAGCCUUUUUGUAGGCCAUGGCUCGACCAAUAGUAAUAAGCGCGAGCGGCAAUCCAUCGCACUCCUUUGCCACAGUUUGAGCUAGUUCAGGAAUACUAUGAUGACUCUCAAUAGUUUCUUCCCCAACUUUCUCUCGAAAUAGCUCCCAAGCAUCCUCAUCGGAUAAGCAUGCCACUUUGAACUUCCUUCGAGCUUCCAUGCGGCCACAAACAUCAACGAAACGGGUUGUAAAUACCACUGCACUAUUUUUUGGGCUGUUACUACUACUAGGAAGAGGGACACCAAUCUUCUUUAGAUCAACCCGCUCCCAUAGAUCAUCCAACAACAAAGCAAACUUCUUCUUGCUUAAAGUCUUGAAGAUGUCCUGAGCUUUCUCUUCGAGACUUUUGUCCUUCCAUGAAUCAGUAUAUAGACCUAUCUUUUUCCCGAUAGUUUCCUGAAUUUUUUCAAGCUGCAGGUCGUUGGACACCACAACCCAAAUCACAUAAUCAAAAUCUGUUGGAUUAUCAACAAAUUUAUUAUUGAUUUGGGUUAACAGUGUAGUUUUACCGACGCCGCCCAUGCCGUAUAGGCCAAUUAUACCAGCUGCAGGUUCUUGUACAAGCCAUCUCCAAACUUGUUCAAGUUGUGAUUGCAAGCCUACCACCGUUGGCUCCGUAGGUCUUUCAUCUGCCCCAGAUAGUAAUUCUGGAGCUGCCACCUCUUCAAAAACUCCUUCCCCCCUUAAGGCCUUCACAUCUCGCAGCCUUUUAACAACUUUUCUACCAAACUUGUAGCUUGACUUGCAGUUCCUGGAGCAGUAGCCUCCAAGACACAAUUUGUCAAUUUCCUGAGAGCCACCAUCUCUUCCCAUGAGUUCAUCAACUUCAGUUUUAAGAGUCUCCACCCUCGAAAGCCAAUCCUGCACUUGGUUCAGCCUCUUCAUUUUGUGUUGGUUUUCAGCAUUGAGGACCCUCGUCAUCACAUCAUUCUUUGCAGCGAUUAGUUGUUCCAAUUCAGUCGUCAAGGCAACAACAUUAUCUUUGAGGUCAGUUAUAUAUGCAGCUUUGCCAAGAGCGCAGUCUGGGCAACGAUUGAACAUUGCGCCAACAUCGCAAGAGAUUUGCAAAAUGUUACCCAUAAUAAAUUUAGCUUAUUCUUGCAUUAUUCUCACUUGUAUUUAUGAAUUCAACCAAGAGAGAAACAAAGGAAUUUAGCUUCACCAGUUUGAUGAACAGAAGCUGCGGUCGCUGAUUAAUUGAGAUAGAACAUUAGUUAUUGAAUAAUGUAAUCAGCUCUUUUUGUACCCAACUUACUAAAAAAAGUAACAAAAAAGAAAAUUUGAAAGGUGGAAUGCAGCUGGCAAAGGAAAAAUCAAAGGCCAUGCUUCCCACAUCAAGAUGGUGGUGGUGGUACCAUCUUUGUGUUUCCUUGACCUUAUCCAAUAUUCAUCAUUUUUGGUCCCACAUCAUGCACGUGCUUGACAGUUAUUUCGAUUUUAUCUCUUUUUAUUCCCCCUUUCAGAUCAGCAUUUUUGUCUUGAUUCUUGAAUAGUUGAAUAUGUAUGUGUGUGGGGGCAUAUAAUAUAUAGUACUUAGAUUUUGUUUAAUUUUCUAUUGUUAACUUGAUUAUUUGUGGCAUUAAUUUAAUAUGAUUUACAUCUUUUUGGUUGUAGUGUUGAUGAGGUUCCUUUAUAUGAUGACCCAAUAUAUAUAUAUAUAUAUAUAUAUAUAUAUAUAUAUAUUUUGUUGUCUUCAUUUGUUUAAUUAUGAGAAAAAUAAAAUAGUAAUAAGAUUGGUCAAUUUGGGUAAACAAUUAAUGAACUAAUGUAGUAUAUCUCAUCUCACUCCCCUAGCAUAUCAUAAAUUUCCAAAAUUUGUCUUCAAUCGAUUAAACAUAAAUGCUGAUCUGUUCAGGAUGAUAUUCUGAGUCCCAUUUUCAUUUUCAUUUACUGAAAAUAAGUUGAACAACUGUUCGUUAUAAUGUUUUAAUAAAAUGAAUUAUGAAAUAAAAAAUUGAGAUUUUACUUUUGUUUACUCAAAAAGUUGAGAUUUUUAUGGUUUUAUUGAAUUUCAAGAAUGGAAGCCAUUCUCUCAUCUUUAUCUUAGUUUAGCGUCCAUGGUAAUUAAAAUGGUUUUUGUAUCAAAUUGAUAAGAUUGAAACAUCUAAUGCUGCAAUGGCUUUUGUGAUUAUUUUAAAUUUGAAGUUUAAAUUUGAUAAAACUAAUAAUUUUAUUGAGCAGAAGAUGAGUGGAAGGACUUUUUCUUUUACUUUUAGCCGAACAAAAAGAUAAAAUAAAAUGUUCAAGGACUUAUAAAAACAAAUGUCGUCAUAUUUUGCUUGUACCAAUGAAACAGUAGUUGUGAACAAGGAUUAAAAUAAUAUUUUCAAAUGAGAUUUUUCUCUAUACUUUAUCAUACCUUUUAUUUGAAUAUCUUUUUUUCGUAUAUAAGUUUAUGAUUUCAUUUAUCAGAUGCUCUAUAAUAUAUUUCAUUUACUGAAAUUUUUUAUUAUUAAAUGUAAUGAACAAUUAAAUUUUUUAUAAGUGUUUACUGUGUGAUACCAAAAAAUAAAUAAACUCUAUAUAAUCCAUUGACAUAAAUAUAAACUAUAUGUUUAAGUAAAAAAAAAAAAGUUUCAAUCCAAUGCUACCGAACAAGUAUUACAGUUUUUAUAUUUAAAAUAUAAGUUUCAAAAACUCAUACCGAACACAUACUUAUAUUUAGAAUACUGGUUUCAAAAACAUCAUUUUUAUUUUUGUUUUUGUUCUAUAAAAACAUCAAUUUACAAUAAUAAAGACAAAGAAUUGAAAAUUUUAAUAAGAAUUAAUCUAACUACUCUCUUUAAAAGGAAAAAAAAAAGAAAAGAAAAUUAAAUUAAUAUAAUAUUAAAUUUAUAACCUCAACUCAAUGGUCAUAUCAAGAACAUAUUUAAUUAUUUUAUUUUUAAUCUACAAUUGAGAUGUCAAGCCCUGGAGUUAAAGCGGUUGUUAUCAUUUUGUUUUCUGAUUUAAUUUCCAUUUUAAAAAUAAUUUUAUAUCCCGUGAGCAAUGCAACGAAUGAUUUGCGAGUUUGGAGGAGUCCAUGCAUAUGGGGCCCACUGGUUGUUUGAUGAUUGAUUAUGUCACAUGAUUCCUGCCACAUACGAUUAUUAUCCACCCUUUAUCUCCUUUUUUUUUUUCUUUAAUACAUAAUCCCCAUUACUCAUUUCGCUUUCAAUUUCAUAUCGAUGCCGCCACUUCACUUUAUCUCUUUUUGUUUUGUUUUUCUUUUAAAUAAUCAGCAUUUUAAUUUUAUAAUUUCUAAUAUAUAACUAAUACUUGAGAGAGUAAUCAUAAUCAUAGUCAAUAUUUUUGGUGAGGAAGAUGUCAAGUAAUAUGACACUUCUCAUGUUCCGUUAACAUUUCAAUUAUAUUAUUAAUUAUCAUCUUAAUUUAGAUAGUAUUAUUUAUUUACGAGAACAUAUCAAUUAUGAAAUUUUUAAUUUUAAAAAUUAAAGAAAUGAUUGAACUGAUUUUUUUCUUAUUAAUUGAUAGCUUAGAUGCAUUUUAUUACAUGUUAAAUAAUUAUGAAUACAUAUCCUUUUUGGUAAUUUAAUUACAUAAAAGUACUUUUAAUUUUACACAAUCAAACCGUUUAAUGGUUCAAAAGUAUUUUUUUAAUUGACAACCAAACACCCAAUUACUUUUUAUCCAAAAGCUCUAUUGGUAUAAGAUCUACUUCUAUAAGAGCUACUGCUAUAAGCUCUAUUUAAUAAGUUGUACAAAACGGAGCCUUACACGAUUGAUUUAUCUAUUUUUUAUUUUACAUUUUUUUUACUCUUCCUCAUGUUAUUGUCCCUUUCUUUUUCUUUUCUUUUUCCUUAGCAGCAAUGUUCCCAAAUUUAAUCGAGAAACAAAGCUAUAAAUGAUAGAACUUAUUAGUUUGAUAAUUAACAAACUCGCAACAGAUAGUACUCAAUUUCAUCCCUAAAUGAAUGCAACACGACUGUGGGCAUAAUACGUCGAGACUUGGGAAAACGUGGCCCUAAGGCAUUUUCAGAAAGAUUAGGGGAUUAACUUAAAUUUAAUUCUUUUAAAAUGUGAAGUUUACGUUUUGCACCCUUUGAAUUUACAGUUUCUUAUUUAUGGCAUCUCAAUUUGGCUUCUCUCGAAUAUGGUCCACGUUAAACCAAAAUUAUAAUUGCACCACUAAAUAUGAAAGUACUGAAAACCUAUUUGAAGUGGAAAGUUAGCGAGUUUCUAUAUUUUUUAAGGAUAUAUUUUAAGUAUGAUAAUCGGCCACCACAUAUUACAUUCAUGUAUGAUAAUCGGCCACCACAUAACUUACCCAAUAUUCAUCAUUUUUGGUCCCACACCAUGUGCUCGACAGUUGUUUCGAUUUUAUCUCUUUUUAUUCCCCCCUUUCUUUCUUUCGUUCUUUAUUUCAGAUCAGCAUUUUUGUCUUGAUUCUUGAAUAGUUGAAUAUGUAUGUGUGUGGGGGCAUAUAAUAUAGGAAAAUGCUACUUUCCCCGGGUCAAAUCCCGGGUCAAACCCCGAAUUAAAUAAAAACGACGCCGUUUUAGUUUCUUUUUUUUGCUUCCAUGAAACGCAGUCGUUCAGCCUAGUGAAAACAGAAAAAACGCAGCUGCUUUUCUUUCUCUUCCUCUUCCUCUUCGAUUCACCACACCCGAGCAAAAGCUUGAACAACAGCAGUGAUGUGUGUGUGUGUGUGUCAUUUUUCUCAUGCUUAUAGAAGGCAAUAAAGCUGCUGAUUCUGGACUAUUUUGGUGUCCACAAAAUCCGCUUUUGUGCUUCUAAUUAACUUGCUUUCUAUUAUUUAUAAUUCUUUCACUUUCUUUAAAGGUAAAUCUCACCUAGGUUUAUGCUUUUUCUUCUAAAUCUAAAGCCCUAUAAGUCCGUUUGCAGUUUGUAUUGGAGCUGUAAAAUGCAGAGCAAUUGCAGCACAAAUUGCAGACAAACAGAGCACAAAUUGCAGACCAAUUUAGCACGCAUUGCAGCACAAUUUGCAGAAGUCACUUGCACAGCAACUCAUCAAAAAAUGCAGAGCAAUUGAAAACAAAAUGCAGACAAAUCUGUACACAGUUUCUUCCGGACCAAAAUCUCAUUUUCAUCAUCAUUCAUCCUCAACACUGGGCACCCAAAUCAAGUGCGGAAAGGAAAAAUGAAUAUCAAUUGCAAUUUAACACACUUAUUUUCUUAACAUUUUACUUCAACCGAAAAUUAAAUAAAAUGGAAAUGACAAUAGCUAUCAAAAUUCAGCACUUGCAAAGCAAUUAAAUUCAGCACUUGCAGAGCAAUAAUAUUCAGCACUUGCACUAGAUCAGCCAAAUUGCAGCACUAAAGAUCGAAGACGUUUGGGUUUGCUUUUUCCUGGGUCAAACGGCAACGUUUGCUUUCGAUUGAUUGAAACGGCUGGUGAAACGAUGAGGAGAAUCGAAGAGGACAAGAAGAUGCAAACGAAGACAUUCGGUUUUGUUUGGCUGAAACGACUACGUUCCAUGGAAGCAAAAAGGACAAAAAAAAGAAGCCAAAACGGCGUCGUUUUGUUUAAUUCGGGGCGCGUUUCGGGGUUAAAAUUCGGGGUGAAUAGCAGCGCUCCAAAGGAAAUGCUUGUAAUGAUUUGAUUCCAGUUUGGCUGGUUAGGUUGUUUAUUUAUUUAUCAGUCAUUGUAGGAAUUUAUGAAUCAGGGGAACUCGUCUGUUGGAUUUUUUUAAGAACUGUGAAGUAUUAGCUGAUUUUUUACCAUAUUUUGGAAUUUUAUUUUGUCUUUGAGAUGAGGAAUAAAUUGAUACCGUUUCUAUUGACCUUUCAUAUGAAAACUACUUGAGCGCAUGAUAUAUAUCUGUUUUUGUUCAUUUCUGUAUUUUGUUGCUGUUGACUGAAGCUGGAUUUUCAUGCUCGUUUUUAUCAUUUAUUCUUUUGAAAUCGCGAAAUGAAUUCUCAAUAUUUUCAGGGGAAAUGCUUAUAAUUAGAGCGAAUUUAAACAUUGAUUGUGUACUGUAUACCUGCAAGGGGCAGUUUAUUUCCUUUGAUUUGAGUAAAAUAAAAUCUCCGUGAUGGUAGCACUUAUUUAAUCAAGCAGGACCUAAAAGAUGGAAAGGAGCGAUACAUAGACAAAAAAAAACACCCCUUAUGAAUUCCAUGGCACUUCUUCCAUUUUGUCACUCGGGGACUACUCAAGAAUUUCACAUUUCAGUUUCGUAAUUUAUAAUUAAAUAUAAAAGAAUUUUUUGAAAAUUUGAUGACAGUUGUUGAAAACAUUUACUAAUUAUAAAUGCGUUAAAAAUUAUUUGAUUCAUUUAGUAUCAUUAUUAGUGAUUUAAUUUUUCAUCUUGAUUUAAAAAAAAUUAAUUUUUUUUUAAUUUUAAAAAGCAAAAUAGAUAACUCUUGACUAAGCGACAGCCGAUGAAUUUUGUAUUAAUCUGGAAAAGUAUUACUACAUCUACGUGUCAUUUAAAGGUUCUUGUAAUUUGAGACGACUUGUCGUCUAUGAUUUAGACCGGACCGGUUCGCGCAAACUUCAAAGCUUUCGAGUAUUCACGGAGCGGCAAUCGCAAAAUCCCUCAAAAGAACACACACAAGGAAUGGAGACUGGGAAAGUAAAGGAGAAGGAGAAGGAGAAGGAGAAGGAGAAAGUGUGCAAGAGGUGUAAGCAAACGUACACAGCUUCAUCAAACAGCUCUUCUUCUUGCCGCUUUCACCCUUCCUUCUUCGUUUGCCGUCGUCACGACGACCAGAAAAGGUACCCUCCCCGCUCCCUCUUUUGAUAAUCAUUUCGCAUACCCUUUUCUUCGAUUUAUUUUAUUUUUUUCUCAUGUACCCUUGCGAUUCUUUUGCAUUUUUUUAUUGGAUGUUAUUAAUUAUUAUAAAAAAAAUUCUAAAAAAUAAAUAAAAUUCACGGCAGCUGGGAGUUGAACGAAACUCUGAGUCCAGUCCUGUUUGGUAGGAUUCUUUGAUUUACAAAGCAUCGAGUAAUCAGAUUCGCUGGGUAUUCAUUUUGUUUUGUUAUUUUUCCAUGUGUCAAUUUUCAUUUAAUUUGGGUUUGUUUAUUUUUGGAUGACUUAGAAAUCCUAAUGUACAACGGCAAUAAUUAGAUGCCGUUAAAUAAUUAUUCCAUUUGCCAGCUGGUUAAUUGUUUCAGGAGUUCAUGCUGAGACUUGUUUUACCACGCCAUCCGUACAAAAAUCUAAUGAAGUCCGGCCAUGUAUAUAUUUAUUUUUUAAAACUGCCGUACAAGUUGAUAAUUACAUUUAAUACAUGCAUCCAUAAUGUCUUCAUAUGGUUGUACAACAACUGGAGUACUAUUGCUGUUAUACAGAGGUGCUAAACUGCUAAUCUCAAAACGUCAUUUGCCACAAGCACCGCAACUACUGAUGGCAUAUCAUGUAUUACUUACAAAUCAACUGAUUUUGUAUUAAUCUUCUGUUUUUCUUAUAGUAUGAGUAUACCGUAGGUGGUACUAUUGUUUGCAUAUUGAAGAAAGCUCAUUUAUGGUAGGAUUUGUAAUUGUUUUGUGUGGCAAAAGCACCUCUUUGUUUGCCUUCAAAUAUCUGGGUUGACAGGGACAGAAUUUUAAGAAGUGGAACUGUUGAUAACAAAGCUAAAAGCUGAAAGUUUCUCAUUCUUGUUUCCUGGAUUUUUCAGUUCAUACCAAAUCUACUUUUUGAGGUUCAUUAUUCAUUUCCUUUAAUUCUUCGUCAUUGGGUUUCUACUGCAUUGUAAUGCUCCACACAAGGUUAGACUCCUUGCAAGGCACUUCUAUUCUAUGCUAGCUUUUCAUAUCACGCUUUUCAUAACAUGAGUUGGACUGAGCUCAGUCAGUUGAUGCUCCAUGUUUUUGAUUCAUUGAAGGUACUAUGAAUUGGGACCUGAUGAUCCACCGUAUGCUGCCAAGUUUUACGACUGCUGCGGGGCCGAGGAUGCUGAUGCCUCUGGUUGUACCACUGGCUUCCAUGUCUCUUAUGAUGAUGAUUAACAUAAUUUUUACCUCCUAAUCACCUGUAACUAUAGAUUAAAUUUGUAGAUAUCUCCGUGUCUCCUCCUGUGACCCACAUCAUUUCCACUGUUCUACCACUGUAUAAUUCAGGUCUUUCAUCAGUUUAUCUCUUCAUUUCUCAACAUUUUUCUUUUUUUUUUCCUGGGGUUGAUCUGGCAUGAAUUCGACAUGUGCUGCUAUGGCCAACUUUCGAGGGAUGAUGGUAAAUCUUAACCCUUUUGCAUAAACUUCUGGAAUUAGUUGGUCUAGGGAGUUUGAAGAGCAUAUACUGGAAGCCAUUGCCUUCCCACAUCUUAAGUAAAGAGUAAUGCUACUUUGGCAGAAAUAGGUUUACAAAAUUUUGACAUACUUAUGAAAUACUAAAUUACCUUUUAGUUUAUUUACAGAUAGCGAAUUGGGCUUUUUACAUAUUUUUGUAAAACUACUAGACAACUGAGCUAUAAUUAUCAAUUUUAUUUUGUAUUAGUAAAUAAUCAAAGAAUCAACCUAAACUUAUAUUCAGGAAAGAAAUAACUACAGAGGACAAAAAAUUAAUGAGGCGAUUGAAAAUUACGCCAAAAUUAAUAGUAAGGCAUUUGAGAUUGCAGUAGAACUUCUCAAUAAUCAUAUUAUUAGGAUCAAUUCAUUUUGUUACUAUAAGGAGGUUAAAACUUUGUAGAAGUUUAGUUCAAAAUUACUAUCUUGACUUCAUUAUUCUUAGUGUAAGUGAUUAGUAUUAAAAAUUGUUUAAUUAUCAAGCGAUAAUAUGUUAUUUUAUGCUUAUGUUAUAAUUUAUAUUUGUGUUUAUGUAAUAUAUUAUGAAUUAUUAAUUAUGUUUUAAAUAUAUUUAAUUUUGUGUAUUUUUAUGUGUUUAUUAGGAAAAUUAUUAAUUUCACGUACUUCGAGGCUCCAAACAGAUAAACGGAGGUCAAAUUUGGAUUCCGGAGGUCCGAAAACCUUAAGAUCAGUCAAGAUCGGCUUAAAAUUGGGCUUGUGUAAAAAAAGUUGACUUUUCCUGUUGACCGAGCACUGAUUGGAUGAUGAAAUGAGCUUACAAUAGAUAUGAGUGCAUGGGAUAACUGGCAAUCUUGACCAAAUCUCAACCGUUCAUGAUUCAAUGGCCAUGAUUGUGCCACGUGGCAAUGGUUGGUGAAGCAAGUUGGAGGAUCCGAAUCUUUGUAUUCGGGUCGACCCGAUCCACCCAUUAACCCGCCAAAUCUCAACCGUUCUUUGGGUAAAUCGGACGAGUCAAAUGAUGCCAUGUGUGAUGUUGACUUUUGAAGUUUGACCAGCCAUUGGAUCUUGAUCUAAGGGUUGUGAGGAGCACAUGCAUGAAGCCUAUGAUGGACCGCAAAGCACGGGAUUAUGAAUUUAUUUUUUCUAUAAAUAGGGCCUCAUUUUUAUGUUUUAAUCAUCUCUCUACAACUCUCUUCUUCUCAAAUUCUCUCCAUCUCCUUGUAAUCUUGAUUUCCAGGUGUGUUUUUAAUAUUUUGUAUAAUUAUUUUCAUUAAUAAAAUUAGUUUUAUUUUCAAUUUUAGUUGUUUUUAUUUCUUUUAAUUAUAAGUAAUUCAAUUUUACUACUUCUUUUUAUUUUAAUUAUGCUUAACUAAAUAAUAUUAGUUAGGGGAAGGUGAAACUCUUAAGAAAUAAAUAUGAUUUAAUCAAAUUCUAUGUUUAAUUUUAUAAAUUAAAUUAUUUUCUAUUUAAUUUUAUACAUGUUUUAUAUUUUGAAAAUUUGAUUUAUUGUAGACAAAUAAAUGAAUUUGGCACAAUAAAUUCUUAAGAUCUUAAUAUAAGGCAUGGUGAAAUGGUAUUUUGACUUAUUGUAGACAAAUUAAAUUUUGGCACAAUAAAUACUUAAUCCAUCAUAAAAUUAAAGGGAAAAUAAUAAUAAUUUGUAUAAUUAAUCUUUUGAGUAAUAAAUCUAAAACAAAUUGGCAAAAAGAAUUUAUUAAGUUUUAUUUGUUUCUAAGAGUGGAUCCAUAACCCUAACUAGUUCAAUUCCAUAGUUUCAUUUAAAUUAAGUUGUUUAUAUUCAAGUUUUAAUUUCAAUUUUUAGAUCAAAUAAAAUAAAUUAAUUAAAUCUUUUCUCUGUGGAUCGACCUCGGACUCACCGAGUUAUAAUACAACAAGACACUCUUAUACUUGGGAGUUAAAAUUUACUUUUAAGUUGUGUCAGUAAGUAAGAUAAUUAAUAAUUAAUUCAUGGAACAUGUCAAUUCUAUGAAGCUUCAAACAUGCUUGAAUACUUAAAAAUAUUUUGUCUUCAACAAGAAGGUGUUUAUAUUAUCGAAUUAUUUUUGCAAUAUACAAAUAAUUAUUAUUAUGUGGAGGCAAUUUCAAAGAUGUGAUAACAAUUUUAAAGAAUAAAUCAUUAUCUCAAACAACUUUAAAAAAUAUAUUUUUUUAUACUAAAUCUUUUAAAGUAACAAAUAUGUUUUGCAAUACACAUAUAAUUAUUAUUAUGUGGAGGCAAGUUACUAAAGUCGGGAUCUAAAACACUUAUUACAAUUAGAGUUAAUUCUUAUUUAUAAUUUACCUAAAUUAAAGUUAAAAUUUUUUUAUGACUAUAAGAGAGUUAUUUCUAUAUAGAUUAUCACUAUAAAUAUAGAGUAUCACUAUAAAAAGGUUUUACGAUCAAUCAUCCAUCAUAAUAAGCACAAGAAUGACAAGUUUUGAUUCUCAAAUAAAUUCUUAUAAAACACAACCAUGGAUUAAGAUUGUCAGGAAAUGGGAAUGCAAUACAAAGUAAUUAAUGACACAGUCACAGUGUUUCACUUACACGUGAAGCAAACGAAACAAGAAGAAUCUUAAGAAAAAAACACUCACCAGAACGCAAGGUUCAAUCCGGGCUUAGCCCCUCUAACCACAGUUCGUCAAGAGAUUGGAAACAGAGACGAAAAGCAUUUUGAGUGGCUUCAUCCUCCCAUUGAAGCCUUCUCCACCAGUCUUCACCUCCACGAAUAAGAAUUCGGCGCCCCUUUGCACUAUUUGAAUCGAGUGGAAGCUUUUCAAGCGAAUCGCAAUACUCCACUUUCAAUUCUUUCAGACGUGGGAGAGGCAAGGGCUUCCAGUAAAUGCUCUUCAAAUUGCGCAGUCCCCAUAAGUGAAGACGCUGGAGUUUUGCGAAAGGGCAGCUUAUUAUUCCCGUCAUCUCAAGAAUGUCAUCAAACUCUCCAGUACUGAUUAUUUCUUCCAUGUCAUAGCAAUGGUCUACGUAAAUAGACUUGAGGUUUGGAGCAAAAACGAGGAAUGUCAAUUGUUUCAAAUUUCUGCAAUAGCUUACGGUAACUUUCUCAAGGCUGCGGAAAACAUAAGGUUGGCGCGAUUUUUGUACCAUAUCUUUGUAGUCAAUCUUCAGUCCCCCAGGCCAACCACAACGAGAAAAGUAUAAUGUAUUGAGCUGCUCUAGAUCUGCUAAAUCUCCAACAUCAAUCGACUCCUCCCUACCGAACUCAUGGAGAAAAAGAGCUUGAGUACAACUUCGUAACUUCUGUGAGCUCAAAAAUGUUUGGUAAGCCUCAAAACUCCUGAAGGUGAUCUCCAGUACCUCUAAAUAUUUCAAACCGAGCAAUUCCUCUGCUACAUUCUCAUGCCAAGAGCUAAACAGUCCGUAAGGUGAUCUAAUACCAAUACCAAACAUUCUCAACACACGUAACCUUGAAAAAUUAGAUAACAGUUGCUGUGGAACUUCAACUAACUCGUCUGCCCAGUCCAAAUUCAAACAUUUAAGAUUUACCAACGCUUUUAACUCUUCGGGUAACUCUCUAACGCUUGUAUUUGAAAUAUCAAGGUGUUGUAGUGAAACCAACUUUGAGAUCCCCAUUGGUAAUUGCUGUAGCAUUCUAUUAUCUGACAUCUUCAAAACUGUUAGACAAGGCAUAGACUGGAAGAAGUCAUCGGUGAUCGUCGUCCACUCAUUAUCGUUAAGAAACAAAGUAAGAAGAUGAGGGCAUGUAGGAACAGUUGGUAGAUUUUCAAUUGAAUUUGUCAUCAAUGAUAAUCUUCUCACCAUUUCCCAUCCUCUGACAUCUGCAGGUGCCUCCGUUAAUCCGGAACCUGCAUAAACCAAAAAGCCCUCCUUCUCCUUCUCAAUCUCACAAGUUAUCCACAAUGCCAUAUCGCGGAUGACGUCAUGCAUUUUUACUUGAUCAUCUUCUACCUCUUCUAAUAAACAUGCACGAACAAGAGUGGCCACGAUGUAGUAUCCUUGGUUUUGUGUGCCAAGCUUGUCUUCAUCCAAAAACCCCUCGCAAAUCCAGCAAUCAAUCAAGUCUCUUUUAUAUAUACUGUAAUCUUCUGGAUAUAAACAACAAUAUAAGAAACAAGAUCUGAUUGCAUCGUUUGGCAAGCAAUCAUAGCUGAAUUUUAAAAGAGGAUAUACCUCCUUUCCCAAACCUGCAAAUUCGGAAGCUGAUCUUCUUAAAACUUCAAUCGCAUACCUCCAUUCUUCAGGAGUCUUUUUGUAGGCCAUGGCUCGACCAAUAGUAAUAAGCGCGAGCGGCAAUCCAUCGCACUCCUUUGCCACAGUUUGAGCUAGUUCAGGAAUACUAUGAUGACUCUCAAUAGUUUCUUCCCCAACUUUCUCUCGAAAUAGCUCCCAAGCAUCCUCAUCGGAUAAGCAUGCCACUUUGAACAUCCUACGAGCUUCCAUGCGGCCACAAACAUCAACGAAACGGGUUGUAAAUACCACUGCACUAUUUUUUGGGCUGUUACUACGACUAGGAAGAGGGACGCCUACCUUCUUUAAAUCAACCCGCUCCCAUAGAUCAUCCAACAACAAAGCAAACUUCUUCUUGCUUAAAGUCUUGAAGAUGUCCUGAGCUUUCUCUUCGAGUCUUUUGUCCUUCCAUGAAUCAGUAUAUAGACCUAUCUUUUUCCCGAUAGUUUCUUGAAUUUUUUCAAGCUGCAGGUCUUUGGACACCACAACCCAAAUCACAUAAUCAAAAUCUGUUGGAUAAUCAACAAAUUUAUUAUUGAUUUCGUUUAACAGUGUAGUUUUACCGACACCGCCCAUGCCGUAUAGGCCAAUUAUACCAGCUACAUGUUCUUGUACAAGACAUCUCCAAACUUGUUCAAGUUGUGAUUGCAAGCCUACCACCGUUGGCUCAGUAGGUCUUUCAUCUGCCACAGAUAUUAAUUCUGGAUCUGGCGCGGCCACCUCUUCAAAAACUCCUUCCCCCUUUAAGGCCUUCACAUCUCGCAGCAUUUUAGCAACUUUUCUACCAAACUUGUAGCUUGACUUGCAGUUCCUGGAGCAGUAGCCUCCAAGACACAAUUUGUCAAUUUCCUGAGAGCCACCAUCUCUUCCCAUGAGUUCAUCAACUUCAGUUUUAAGAGUCUCCACCCUCGACAGCCAAAGCUGCACUUGGUUCAGCCUCUUCAUUUUGUGUUGGUGUUCAGCAUCGAGGACCCUCGUCAUCACAUCGUUCUCUGCAGCGAUUAGUUGUUCCAAUUCAGUCGUCAAGGCAACAACAUUAUCUUUGAGGUCAGUUAUAUAUGCCGCUUUGCCAAGAGCGCAGUCUAGGCAAAGAUUGAACAUUGCGCCGUCGCAAGAGAAUGAGAUUUGCAAAAUGUUACCCAUAAUGUAUCUCACUUGUAUGUAUGAAUUCAACCAAGAGAGAAACAAAGAAAUGUAACUUAACCAGUUUGAUGAACAGAAGCUGCUGUUGCGGAAUGAGAUAGAACAUUGGUUAUUGAAUAAUGUAAUCACCUCUGUUUGUACCCUACUUACUGUUUGCAUGAGUUAAUGAGCCUGCAAUUGGCCAGGUCCAUAACUGUUUGCAUGCUUCCCACAUCAAGAUGGUGGUAGUGGUACAUCUUUGUGUUUCCUUGACCUUAUCCAAUAUUCAUCAUUUUUGGUCCCACACCAUGUGCUUGACAGUUGUUUCGAUUUUACCUCUUUUUUUUUUUUCUUUUUUUUUCCUUUCUAUCUUUCAGAUCAGCAUUUUUGUCUUGAUUCUUGAAUAGUUGAAUAUGUAUGUGUGGGUGGGUAUAUAUAGUACUUAGAUUUUGUUUAAUUUUCUAUUGCUAACUUGAUUAUUUGUGGCAUUAAUUUAAUAUGAUUUACAUCUUUUUGGUUGUAGUGUUGAUGAGUUGCCUUUAUAUGAUGACCCAAUUUUUUUUUUGGUCUUCAUUUGUUUAAUUAUGAGAAAAAUAAAAUAGUAAUAAGAUUGGUCAUUUUGGCUAAACAAUUAAUGAACUAAUGGAGUAUAUCUCAAUUUGGGUAAACAAUUAAUGAAAUUUGAGGGGUGUGAAAAGCUUAACUCAAUAAGAAAAGCGAUACCUCUUCUAAAAAAAAAAUAAGAAAAGUGAUACGAAAAAUCACUACUCGUUGGAUUAUUUAUAUGGAUGGCCCAUCCCACUGAAGAGUAAAGCGGCUUACGGCCCAAUUUAAUGAGCCCAUUGCCGACUCGUUGCUCUCCCUACGCGCUUUAAAUCUCGUACAAAUCACAGCCAACCAUAUAUUAUAAACGAGGCUCGCGGUUAUUCCAUCGAACAUGGGUCCCAGCAUGCCCCGUCCAUAUCAUAAAUUUCCAAAAUUUGUCUUCAAUCGGUUAAACAUAAGUUUCAAAAUUCUUUCCAAAAAAAAAAAGAAAUUGCCAAUACCAAUCCUUUAAAGUUUAAAACAUCCAAAAGGGGGAAAAAGCUUUUUUUGAGUCGUCCAUAUCAUAAAUUUCGACUAAAGUUGGGACAUGGCAUGUGGUAGACAUGUGGAUUGAUUGCAUAUGUUAUUUGAGUCGUUGUAUCAUCGGCUUCACAUUAUUAAUAAGCUUUUUUUUUCACCCAAAUUCUUCUAAGAAUUAUGAGCAUAUUUUUUAGCAUAAUUGUUGGCUGAUCAGAAACUCUCGAAAGUUCGCCUAUAAUUUAGAUUAAACCAGCAAUUAACAUGAGAAGUUAGGGUGGCAGGCAGGACAAUGGGAACCAACUCAAAUCUGGUUCCAUUAGCAAGCAGCAGCCAAAUUCCAAGAUUCUCAACAAUUUUAGGGACCUGCUCAGGAUGAUAUUCUGAGUCUCAUUUUCAUUUUCAUUUACUGAAAAUAAGUUGAAUAACUGUUCGGUACAAUGUUUUAAUAAAAUGAAUUAUGAAAUAAAAAAUACAGAUUUUACUUUUGUUUACUCAAAAAGUUGAAGAACGACCUUUUUAUGGUUUUGUUGAAUUUCAAGAAUGGAAGCCAUUCUCUCAUCUUUAUCUCAGAUUAGCGUCCAUGGUAAUUAAAAUGGUUUUUGUAUCAAAUUGACAAGGUUGAAACAUCUAAUGCUGCAAUGGGUUUUGUGAUUAUUUUAAAUUUGAAAGUUAAAAUUUGAUAAAACUAAUAAGUUUUAUUGAGCAGAAGAUGAGUGGAAGGACUUUUUCUUUGAUUUUUAGCCGAACAAAAAGAUAAAAUAAAAUGUUCAAGGACUUAUAAAAAAAAUGUCGUCAUAUUUUGCUUGUACCAAUGAAACAGUAGUUGUGAAAAAGGAUUAAGAUAAUAUUUUCAAAUGAGAUUUUUCUCUAUACUUUAUCAUACCUUUUAUUUGAAUAUCUUUUUUCGUAUAUAAGUUUAUGAUUUCAUUUAUCAGAUGCUCUAUAAUAUAUUUCAUUUACUGAAAUUUUUUAUUAUUAAAUGUAAUGAACAAUUGAAUUUUUUUAUAAGUGUUUACUGUGUGAUACCAAAAAAUAAAUUAACUUUAUAUAAUUCAUUGACAUAAAUAUAAACUGUAUGUUUAAGUUAACAAAAAAAAAAGUUUCAAUCCAAUGCUACCGAACAAGUAUUACAGUUUUUAUAUUUAAAAUAUAAGUUUCAAAAACUCAUACUGAACACAUAUUUAUAUUUAGAAUACUGGUUUCAAAAACAUCAUUUUUAUUUUUGUUUUUGUUCUAUAAAAACAUCAAUUGACAAUAAUAAAGACAAAGAAUUGAAAAUUUUAAUAAGAAUUAAUCUAACUACUCUCUUUAAAAGGAAAAAAAGAAAAAAGAAAAUAUCUAACUACACUCACUUUCUAAAAAUAUAAAUACAUAUAAUUACACUAAAACCCCUAUAGAUUUUUAUUUUACCAAACAAUUAUGUGAUUAAUAUUUAUUUAUAAAAUAUAACAAUUAUGUGAUUAAUAUAAUAUUAAUUUUAUAAUCUCAACUCAAUGGUCAUAUCAAGAGCAUAUUUCAUUAUUUUAUUUUUAAUCUACAAUUGAGAUGUCACACCAUGGAGUUAAAGCGGUUGUUAUCAUUUUGUUUUCUGAUUUAAUUUCUAUUUUAAAAAUAAUUUUAGACCCCGUGAGCAUUCAACGAAUGAUUUGCGAGUUUGGAGGAGUCCAUGCAUAUGGGGCCCACUGGUUGUUUGAUGAUUGAUUAUGUCACAUGAUUCCUGCCACAUACGAUUAUUAUCCACCCUUUAUCUCCUUUUUUUUUCUUUAAUAAAUAACCCUCUUUACUCAUUUCACUUCCAAUUUCAUGUUCAUGCCCUUACACUAUUGAUUUAUCUAUUUUUUAUUUCACACAUUUUUUGUUUACUCUUCCUCAUGUUAUUGUCCCUUUCUUUUUCUUUUCUUUUUCCUUAGCAGUAAUGUUCCCAAAUUUAAUCGAGAAACAAAGAUAUAAAUGAUAGAACUUAUUAGUUUGAUAAUUUAUAAACUCGCAAUAAAUGGUACUCAUUUUCAUUCCUAGAUAAAUGCAAUACGACCGUGUACAGAAUACGUCGAGGUUUGGGAAAAACGUGGUCCUCUAGCAUUUUUAUUAAGAUUAGGGAUUUAACUGAAAUUUAAUUCCUUUAAAAUGUGAAGGUUACGUUUUGCACCCUUUGAAUUUACAGUUUCUUAUGUUUGGCAUCUCAAUUUGGCUUCUCUCGAAUAUGGUCCACGUUAAACCAAAAUUAUAAUUGCACCACUAAAUAUGAUAUGACAGUACUGGAAAACUAUUUGAAGUGGAAAGUUAGUGAGUUUCUAUUUUUUUAAGGAUAUAUUUUAAGUAUUAUAGAGAUAAAAAUUAACUAUCUACCUAAGUAACCAAGCGAGCAAUUUAAACUUUAGACCUCUUUUACAUCAACGGGUUAUGUUUGGCAGACUCAAUUUGUCAAUAACUAGAUAUAUGUUAUGACAGACUCAAUUUGGGGCAGAUUCUAGGGUAAGGAAACUAAAAAUGCUUAUUUUCGAAGGUGAGGAUGCCUAUGGAUGGGUGUAUAGGGUAGAGCGCUAUUUCGCCAUCAAUGGACUCUAAGAAAGGGAAAAAUUGAUGGCGGCGGCGUUAUGUUCGGAGGGAAAGGCCCUUGCGCAGUUUCAAUGGCGAGAACAACGAAAACCGUUGAGGUCAUGGGAUGAGUCUAAAGAUCGGCUAUUGGAGAGGUUUCAGGGCACUCAAGACUCAAGAGGGAGAUUUGCAUGAACAAUUUUUUACUUUGACCCAGGAUAGAAUGGUUAUGGAGUAUAAGGAGAAGUUUGAGUUGCUAUCAGGGCGUUUAUGGGGAAUUCCAGAGGCGGUAUUGGAAGGAAAUUUUAUGAAGGGACUGAAGCCAGAAAUCCGAGCCUCGCUACGCUUGCUAAGGCCGAGAGGGUUAAGGGAGUCAAUAAAGUUGGCACAAAUGGUUGAGGAUAAGAACACAAUAGAACGGGUUAAUAGGAGCAAUUCGGUCAAUUUUUCAUACCAAAACAGCACGCCAUUGGUAGGACAGAAAACCCAGACUUUGGGGUUUCAGCGAGAGUUCCAAAGUACACCACUAGGAGGCCAGAAAAUGCAAAUGGUGGAUUUACAGAGAGAUUCCCAAAGGGAUUGGGAUAGUGAGGCACGACUGGGGGUGACUUUCGAACACCUCAUGGAGACAGAGAUUCAGGAUAAAAGGGCGAAGGGGUUGUGUUUUCGAUGUGAUGAGAAAUUUUCACUAGGGCAUCGAUGUAAGGAUAAAUCACUACAAGUCCUGACUGUGUGUGAUGAGGAAGAAGGCUGGAAAGAAGCCGAAGAAGAAGACGCAAUAGUUUCCUAGAUUUCACCUUGAGGACAAGGUGUCUUUUUGGGAGGGGAGUAAUGUUUGACCAAUGAAAAUUUAAGUGCAAUUAUAAAGAGGCAGGGGCACUUUAGUAAUCUUAGGGGCGGGGGCAGUUUAGUAAUUUUAUUAUUAAUUAGGGUUCAGGUAUAAAUAAGAGAUUUUGGAGUCACCUAGAAUUUAUGUUGAGUUUUAUCUAAUGUUAAGAAUAAUUAGGAGUUUUGGGAGAUAUUAACCUACCUCUCGAAUUGUAGGUCAAGAUUAUUAUUUAUUUUUAUCAAUUAAAAAAAAAUCAGCCCUAAUUUACCCCCAAGUCCUGCCAUAAUGGAAUUUGUGUUAUUGACCUCUUCUUUUUUCCCUUUUCCUUCUUCUUGUAACAACUUCUUUAUGAAACAUGUCUUUGCGUCUGGCUCUUGUCUUACUAUGAACCUGCAGUGGAGUACUUGGCAACUACUAGAACCCUGCCACGACUAAUAGAUGUUGUUAAGAGUUCCACAAAGGAGAAGGUGAGAUCUGGAUUCUUGGUAGUAUUUAAUUUUAGCAAAGGCUUACUGCUAGGUUGUCAGGGUGGUGGUCUUGAUCCUUAGGAACUUGCUUCUCAAAGGUAAUUUUGCUGCUCAAAUGAUAGACCUUGGGCUACCUCAAGUUGUUCAAAGUUUAAAAGCACAAGCAUGGAGUGACGAGGUAAAAGAAGUUGCUCGCUGUUUACUUUUUCUUUUUCGGUUGAUUGCAUAAUUAUUUAGUUAAUAGAUCGAGUAAAAUUAAGGGAGUUGAUGGCGCUGUUUGCUACUGAUUGGUGCAUUUGGUGAUCAUUUUAAAUGGAUUAAAAUUUUACUUCGGCUUCUGUUAAGCAUGGUGUUGUAGGAUAUUCAAUUGCUUGUGUGAUGACAAAAACUACUGUUAUUUUUGUUCAUUAUAUGAAUAUUAGUGUUGUUUUGGUGCAUACUUGAUUUUGAUACCAUUAUGCCCUAUUAUUCCUUUGUUCAGCACGGAAUAAUUUUGUUUCCAUCCACACUUUGAUUGAAGCUCUGGCUGGCGAAAGUGCUGACUACUAUUGCACGGACCUACACUAUCUUUGACAAGGUGAGAUUGUAGAAUUGUGGUUUUUUUAUUACCACAUAUUUUCUUUGGCCUUGAACCAUUCAAUUUUGGCAAGGCUUGACUCUUUUUCCUCAUGAUGAACUGAAGUUGUAUACUGCUUAUGUGGAAUCUUGGUAUCCAACACAAAAUUAAGAUUUCAGCCUUCAAACUUAUAAUGCAAGAUAUUAGAUUGAGUUUGGGCGGCUCCUGAAUAGUACCAAAAAGAAUGAGUCUUGACCACCAUUGCUGAAUUUUGUUUAACCUUUAACACAAUGAUGACUUCAUCUUGCUACAUUUACAUAUAAUAGAUUUCAAUAUCUUCUUAGGAUUUACUGGAGUGUCUGAAUCAACUGGAAGAAGGUUUGAAGGAUAAUAUUAAGAGAUUGAGUUCUUUCGACAAGUACAAGCAAGAAGUCUUCCUUGGCCAUCUCAACUGGUCCCCCAUGCACAAAGAUCCCCUAUUCUGGCGUGAUAAUAUCACAAACUUUGAAGAAAAUGAUUUCCAGGUAUUUCUUUUCCCCAUGGACGGUGUUUCUAGUUUUUAUUUUUCAUUUUUCUGCUUUAACUUCACUGAGUGACUUGGCAUCAUUUUGUAUAAAGAAAUACAAAUUUUCUGUAAUACUAACGGAUAAUCUUCUCUCUCAGAUUCUAAGGGUCCUCUUAACAAUUUUGGAUACAUCCAGUGAUCCACGAGCUCUUGCUGUCGCCUGCUUUGAUCUCUCACAGUUUAUCCAGUACCAUCCAGCUGGGCGGGUCAUUGUGACGGACCUCAAAGCCAAGGAACGGGUGAUGAAAUUGAUGAACCAUGUUAGCAUAUGUGAGUAACAGAGCAGGGGAUUCCAGCUCAAGAGCUGACGUGUCAAUAUUUGUUAUACAUGUUGCUUAACGUGUAACAAGCUGAUUUCAGUAGUUGAUAACAGAUUCUAGUAGCUUCAUUAAUUAGUUAGAAAGAUUCGUUUAAGCUCAUAUAUAAACCAACACUUGUAAUCUUUUUCAUCAACUUGAUUGAAUACAAAUUCAUUGAUAUCUGUAUAUUCUUUGUUAUUUUUCUUUCUCUUUCUAUCGUUUUCUUAUCUACCAAACACAUCAACAACAUUUCUAACAUGGUAUCAGAGCCAAUGGCUAACUCAAAUCAAAAUUCUCAUUCCUAUAACUUUGUCACUCCGAUCAAGUUGGAUCACAACAACUUCAUGGUGUGGAGGAAUCAAGUUCUGGCUUCAAUCAAAGGAAACGGUCUGGAAGGUUUCAUCAAUGGAACUAAUCCGUGUCCUGAUCAGUACCUCAAUCAAGUAAGUGAAGCAUCAAGUUCAGCUCAAGGUAAUUCUAGAUCUAGAACUGAAAAUCCUGCGUUUGCUUUGUGGAUUAGAACUGACCAGCUACUGUUAAGCUGGAUGUUCUCGUCUAUUCAAGAAAAUCUACUUACCUCAGUAAUUCAAUGUGUUUCUUCUCAAGAACUUUGGGAAACUCUUACACGCAUGUUCAUCUCUCAAACUCAGGCAAGAAUUGUGCCACUAAAAAUGCAGUUACAGACUUCUAAGAAAGGGUCUAUGUCAAUGAAUGCUUAUUUUUCUAAGAUGAAACGUCUUGCUGAUAGUUUAGCUAUUGCUGGAAAGCCUGUUGAACACAAUGAUAUGAUCUCAUACAUUCUAACUGGUUUAGACUCUCAGGAUUAUGAGUCACUAGUUACUAUUCUGCUUGCUAGAAGUGAUAAUCUGAGUCUAGAUGAAUUAUAUUCCUUGUUAUUGAGUCAUGAAAUGAGGAUUGAGCAAAAGAAAGGGAAGAUCAAUGCUGAUGUAAUUCAUAAUCUCUCUGCUAACAUUGCACAAAAGAAUCAAAAUCUUCCAAGAGGUGGAUCUGGUAAUUUUGGUUUUCCAAGAGGAAAUGGAGGGUUUAACAAUGCUAAUCAAGGAGGAAAUAAUGUCAAUCAUGAGUCAAAUAUAGUGUGCCAAAUUUGUUUCAUUCCAGGUCAUGGUGCUACAAAAUGCAGAAACAGAUUUAAUCCUGCAUUUGUACCACAGAGGAAUUUCGGCAGAGGUAACUUCAGACCUGGUUUUGGAAACUAUGGCAGAGGCUUCACUCCAAAUAAUUUUCCUCCAAGACCUUUUAAUGGUUUUGGAAGAAAUAAUAAUGGUCAAUAUGCUGGAUCACCAAGGGGUUAUGGUUUUCAAAGUGGUUUUCAAGGCCAUGUCACUUAUCCAAAUUCUAAUGUUGCUGGUGCUAACUCUCAAUCUUCCUCAUUUAACUCUCACAACUCUGGUUCUGAUCAUCCAGUAGCUUUUAACUGUUUCAAUGGAACAACUAAUGCUUCUCAGUUUCAGUCAUCAACAAGCUUUCAUACUGAUUCUUCUCCUGAAAUUGUGGAAGAUCCGUCCUGGUACAUAGACAGUGGAGCCUCUACUCACAUCACAGCUGACUCAGGUAAACUCUUUAACAUGCAGCCUUAUUGUGGUACAGAAUCACUUCUGGUUGGAAAUGGAAAUGCAUUAGAAAUUAAACAUAUUGGAUCUACAGUACUUGAUACACUGACAACUGAACCUUUACUCCUAAAAAAUGUCUUACAUGUUCCAAAUAUCACCAAGAAUUUAUUAAGUAUUUCACAACUUUUAGCUGACAACAAUGUUAUUGUUGAAUUUGUUGGAAUUCUUUGUUUCAUUAAGGCCAGGAAAACAGGAACUCUGUUACUUAAGGGAGUAGCUACUGGAGGCUUGUAUCAAAUAGAAGAUUUGUCAAGUGAAGAUUCUCAAGUUUCUUGGUGUCGUAGUCAAAUAAAUAAACCUGUAUCAAUGUUUGCUACUCUCUCUAGUUCAGUCAAUUUCAAUCCCUCUCCUGUCGAGUCAUGUAAUCCAGCAGCUUUAACAAUGUCUGUGUCAUCAGUUGGUGUUGAUUUACUUCACAAGAGACUUGGACAUCCAGCCUCACACACACUUCAAACUGUUAUUAAGACUUGUAAUUUGUUUGCUGGAAUUAAUAAAACUCCAAAAAUUGCCUUCUGUGAUGCAUGUCAGUUUGGCAAAAAUCAUCUUAAACAUUUUGAUUCUGUCAUUACCAAAACAACAGCACCUCUGUAAUUAUUAUAUGCAGAUCUUUGGGGUCCUUCACAUACAACUUCCACUCAAGGCUACAGCUAUUACUUGUCAAUAUUAGAUGAUUACAGUAGGUUCACUUGGAUUUUUCCUUUAAAAGCCAAGUCUGAUUCAUUACAAGUUUUCACUGAUUUCAAAACCUUCAUUGAGAAACAUCUUGAGAGAAGAAUUAAGACUGUCCAAACAGAUUGGGGAGGGGAAUUCAGAUCAUUUUCUUCAUUAUUAACAACCUCUGGUAUCCAUUUCAGACACCCUUGUCCUCACAUUCACCAUCAAAAUGGUAAAAUAGAGAGAAAACAUAGGCACAUUGUUGACAUUGGUCUCACCUUACUAGCUCAAUCAAAUUUGCCACUUACUUUUUGGUGGAAUGCUUUCCACACUGCUGUAUUUCUCAUAAACAGAUUACCAACUCCAGUGUUGAAUAAUGUCUCACCCUAUUUCAAACUCUUUCAUCAAACUCCAGAUUACUCAUUCCUAAGAGUUUUUGGCUGUGCUUGUUACCCUUAUCUUAGACCCUAUAAAAAACAUAAGCUAGAGUUUAGGACUGGUAGAUGCAUCUUCAUUGGAUACAGUCCUAACCAUAAGGGCUAUCAGUGUUUACACUCAUCAGGAAGGGUAUAUAUAUCCAAUCAUGUAGUGUUUAAUGAGAAUUCUUUCCCAUACCAGCCUGGUGUUGAUUUUUCCUCUGUGUCAAUGUCUUGUUCAAGUACAAACAAUCCAGAGUCAACUUCUUCUAUACAAGUUCUUUCAGCACCUCCCUUAACAACAGAGGUUCCUGCUCAAUCUCCACAUUCAUCACAAGAAGUUUCUGGUAAUUUCAACUCACCUUUAUCUCAGCAUUCUUUACCUUCUUAUUCUUCAAAUCAUAAUUCACCAGAUUCUUUACAUUCAAACAUUCCAGUUCCUUUUGUUCCUGCCCAUCAGCUACCCAAUUUUCAGCCACCUGGUCAUAGCAUGAUCACCAGGUCCAAAGCUGGAAUUUUUAAACCAAAAACAUACAUCACUGCACUUUUAGCCCAACCAUCUGAACCCAACUCAGUAAAUCAAGCACUGCAAGAUCCAAAAUGGUUUAAUGCUAUGCAGGAGGAGUUUAAAGCUCUUCAAGCCAAUCAAACUUGGGAUUUAGUUAUUCCUACAGCUGCUGUCAAAGUAGUAGGAAACAAAUGGAUUUUCAGAAUUAAAUACAACUCAGAUGGAUCAAUCUCAAGAUAUAAGGCAAGACUUGUUGCAAAGGGGUUUCAUCAAACAUAUGGGAUCGAUUACAGUGAAACUUUCAGCCCUGUUGUUAAGGCUUCAACAGUGAGAGUGAUAUUGAGUUUAGCUGUGAUGAACAACUGGAUAAUAAGGCAGGUUGAUGUUAAUAAUGCAUUUCUUAAUGGCAUUCUUGUUGAAGAUGUAUACAUGGCUCAACCAGAAGGCUUUGUGGAUCCAGAAAAGCCUCAUCAUGUGUGCAAAUUAAAGAAGGCUCUAUAUGGACUCAAGCAAGCUCCAAGGGCAUGGUUUGACAGGUUCAGAAGAGCUAUGACAUCUCAGUGGCAUUUUGAACAUUCAAAGUCAGAUUCCUCAUUAUUUUACAGAUGGGAUGCAGGUGAUAUUCUACUGGUCUUAGUAUAUGUAGAUGAUAUUAUCAUUACAGGCUCUAAUCAAAAUAGUGUGUUGAAAGUAAUCUCUGAUAUGCAAGCUACUUUUGCUCUUAAAGAUUUAGGAGAGCUUAGCUAUUUUCUUGGUAUAGAGGUUACUAAAAAUUCGACAGGCCUUCAAUUAUCUCAGAGCAAAUACAUAGUUGAUUUGCUGAACAGGCAUGAAAUGGUCACUUGCAGUCCAGUACCAACUCCCAUGGUCACUUCUCAUUCACUUGUUAAGAACUCAGGAGUUAUCAUUCCAAAUGCUUCUCAGUACAGGAGUGUUGUGGGGGCUCUGCAGUAUGUGACUUUGACCAGGCCAGAAUUAGCUUUUUCAGUUAAUAAGUUGAGUCAAUUUCUUUCAGCUCCAACAGAAGAACAUUGGCAAGCAUGUAAGAGGAUACUCAGAUAUUUGAAGGGAACAAUUCACUAUGGCUUACAACUUCAUUCAACUGGAAGUCAGCAUAUGCAAAUAAAUUGUUUCAGUGACUCUGAUUGGGCUUGUGACAGAGAUGAUCGAAAAUCAGUAGCAGGGUAUGCUGUGUUUCUUGGACCUAACCUUGUUUCAUGGUCUUCAAAGAAGCAACAUGUAGUCUCCAGGUCAAGCACAGAGUCAGAAUACAGAGCCUUAGCUCUGGCAACAACUGAAGUUAUGUGGGUAAAAGGGUUACUUACUGAGCUGAAGAUUAAAAUUGAUCACACACCCAUUAUGUGGUGUGACAAUCAGGGAGCAAUAUCUUUGGCUAUGAAUCCAGUGUAUCAUGCCAAAACAAAACACAUUGAGCUAGAUAUACACUUCAUUCGAGAAAAGGUCCAAGCUAAUCAAAUUGAAGUUAACUAUGUGCCUAGUGAAGAUCAAGCUGCAGACAUAUUCACAAAAGCUUUGACCUAUGGACAAUUCAGUUAUCUUAGAAGCAAGCUGAACAUAUUUCCUACACAGUUCAGCUUGAGGGGGGAUGUUAGCAUAUGUGAGUAACAGAGCAGGGGAUUCCAGCUCAAGAGCCGACGUGUCAAUAUUUGUUAUACAUGUUGCUUAACGUGUAACAAGCUGAUUUCAGUAGUUGAUAACAGAUUCUAGUAGCUUCAUUAAUUAGUUAGAAAGAUUCGUUUAAGCUCAUAUAUAAACCAACACUUGUAAUCUUUUUCAUCAACUUGAUUGAAUACAAAUUCAUUGAUAUUAGUAUAUUCUCUGUUAUUUUUCUUUCUCUUUCUAUCGUUUUCUUAUCUACCAAACACAUCAACAACAUUUCUAACAAACCAUGAGAAUACCGAGGUUACCAAGAGCGCCUUACUCUGCAUCCAAAGGCUUUUCCUAGGCGCAAAGUACGCGAGCUUUUUGCAGGCCUGAAAUCUCUUUCCAUGGGGUCCAGUAUUGUUUACAAAGGAAAUGCUUGUAAUGAUUUGAUUCCAGUUUGGCUGUGGUUAGGUUGUUUAUUUAUUUAUCAAUCAUUGGAGGAAUUUAUGAAUCAGGGGAACUCGUCUGUUGAAUUUUUUUAAGUACUGUGAAGAAUUAGUUGAUUUUUUACCAUAUUUUAGAAAUUUAUUUUGUUUUUGAGAUGAGGAAUAAAUUGAUACCAUCUGUACUGACCUUUGAUAUGAAAACUACUCGGGCGCAUGAUAUAUAUCUGUUUUUGUUCAUUUCUGUAUCUUGCUGCUGACUGAAGCUGGAUUUUCAGGCUCGUUAUUAUCAUUUAUUCUUUUGAAGUUGCAAAAUGAAUUCUCAAUAUUUUCAGGGGAAAUGCUUAUAAUUAGCGCGGAAUUAAACAUUGAUUGUGUACUGUAGACUUCCAAAAGGCAAUUUAUUUCCAUUGAUUUGAGUAAACUAAAUCUCCGUGAUGGUAACACUUAUUUAAUCACUUAUUAAAGAAUUCUUUGAAAAUUUGAUGAUUGUUGUUGAAAACAUUUACUAAUUGUAAAUGCGUUAAAAAUUAUUUGAUUCAUUUAGUAUCACUAAUAGUGAUUUAAUUUUUCAUCUUGAUUGAACGAUGAAUUUUGUAUUAAUCCGGAAAAGUGCAACUGUUACUCCAACCACGCGUCGCUUAAAGGUUCGUGUAAUUUGAGACGACUUGUCGUCUAUGUUUUAUUCCGGACCGGUUCACGCAAACUUUAAAGCUUUCGAGUACUCGCGGAGCGGCGAUCGCAAAUCCCUCAAAAGAACACACUCAAGGAAUGGAGACUGAGAAAGUACAGGAGAAGGAGAAGGAGAAGGAGAAGGAGAAAGUGUGCAAGAGGUGUAAGCAAACGUACACAGCUUCAUCAAACAGCUCUUCUUCUAGCCGCUUUCACCCUUCCUUCUUCGUUUGCCGUCGUCACGACGACCAGAAAAGGUACCCACCCCACUCCCUCUUUUGAUCAUCAUUUCGCAUACACUUUUCUUCAAUUUAUUUUUUUAAAAAUUUUUUUCUCAUGUACCCUUGUGAUUCUUUUGCAUUCUUUAUUGGAUGUUAUUAAUUAUUAUUAAAAAAAUUCUAAAAAAUAAAUAAAAUUCACGGCAGCUAGGAGUUGAAUGAAACUCUUGAGUCCAGUCCAGUUUGGUAGGAUUCUUUGAUUUACAAAGCAUCGAGUAAUCAGAUUUGCUGAGCAUUCAUUUUGCUUUGUUAUGUUUCCAUGUAUCAAUUUUCAGUUCAUACCAAAUCUACUUUUUGAGGUUCGUUAUUCAUUUCCUUUAAUUCUUCGUCAUUGGGUUUCUACUGCAUUGUAAUGCUGUACACAAGGUUAGACUCCUUGCAAGGCACUUCUAUUCACUUACUACUUUCAUGUGGGGGGCGGGGGGCGGGGGGAAGUACAUUUAUGGACUCUUUUUGAUAUUGUGGGAUUUGUGUCUGGGUGUGAGUGCACACAUUUUGAUCGGUAGCUAACUAAUGGAUGUCAUUGCUUGCAGUUUAAAAUGUAGAAAAAUAAUUUGUGUCUGAGUGUGAGUGCACAAAUUUUGAUCUGUAACUAAUUAAUGGAUAUCAUUGUUUAAAAUGUGAAAAAUUUAGUUUAUUCUAUGCUAGUUUUUCAUAACAUGAGUUGGACUGAGCUCAGUCAGUUGAUGCUCCAUGUUUUUGAUUCAUUGAAGGUACUAUGAAUUGGGACCUGAUGAUCCGCCAUAUGCUGCCAAGUUUUACGACUGCUGCGGGGCCGAGGAUGCUGAUGCCUCUGGUUGUACCACUGGCUUCCAUGUCUCUUAUGAUGAUGAUUAACAUAAUUUUUACCUCCUAAUCACCUGUAACUAUAGAUUAAAUUUGUAGAUAUCUCCGUGUCUCCUCCUGUGACCCACAUCAUUUCCACUGUUCUACCACUGUAUAAUUCAGGCCUUUCAUCAGUUUAUCUCUUCAUUUCUCAACAUUUUUCUUUUUUUUUUUUCCUGGGGUUGAUCUGGCAUGAAUUCGACAUGUGCUGCUAUGGCCAACUUUCGAGGGAUGAUGGUAAAUCUAAACCCUUUUCCAUAAACUUCUGCAAUUUGAAGAGCUUAUACUGGAAGCCAUUGCCUUCCCACAUCUUAAGUAAAGAGUAAUGCUACUUUGACAGAAAUAGGUUUACAAAAUUUUGACAUACUUAUGAAAUACUAAAUUACCUUUUAGUUUAUUUACAGAUAGCGAAUUGGGCUUUUUACAUAUUUUUGUAAGAAUCAACCUAAACUUAUAUUCAGGAAAGAAAUAACUGCAGAGGAGAAAAAAUUAAUGAGGCGAUAGAAAAUUAUGCCAAAAUUAAUAGUAAGGCAUUUGAGAUUGCAGUAGAACUUCUCAAUAAUCAUAUUAUUAGGAUCAAUUGAUUUUGUUACUAUAAGGAGGUUAAAACUUUGUAGAGGUUUAGUUCAAAAUUACUAUCUUGACUUCAUUAUUCUUAGUGUAAGUAAGAUAAUUAAUAAAUAAUUAAUGAAGUGUGUCAAUUCUAUGAAGCUUCAAACAUGCUUGAAUACUUAAAAAUAUUUUGUCUUCAACAAGAAGGUGUGUAUAUUAUUGAAUUAUUUUUGCAAUAUACAAAUAAUUAUUAUUAUGUGGAGGCAAUUUCAAAGAUGUGAUAACAAUUUUAAAGAAUAAAUCAUUGUCUCAAACAAUUUUAAAAAAUAUUUUUUUCUAUACUAAAUCUUUUAAAGUAACAAAUAUGUUUUGCAAUACACAUAUAAUUAUUAUUAUGUGGAGAUAAGUUACUAAAGUCAGAAUCUAAAACACUUAUUACAAUUAGAGUUAAUUCUUAUUUAUAAUUUACUUAAAUUAAAGUUAAAAUUUUUUUAUCACUAUAAAAGAGUUAUUUCUAUAUAGAUAAUCACUAUAAAUACAGAGUAUCACUAUAAAAAAGUUUUACGAUCAAUCAUCCGUCAUAAUAAGCACAAGAAUGACAAGUUUUGAUUCUCAAAUAAAUUCUUAUAAAACACAACCAUGGAUUAAGAUUGUCGGGAAAUGGGAAUGCAAUACAAAGUAAUUAAUGACACAGUCUCAGUGUUUCACUUACACGUGAAGCAAACGAAACAAGAAGAAUCUUAAGAAAAAAACACUCACCAGAACGCAAGGUUCAAUCCCGGUUUACUACGUCAACCUCCAUUCCUCAAAGAGAUUGGAAACACGUCAACCUUCAUCUCCACCAGUCUCCAUCUCCACGAAUAAGAAUUCUGCGCCCAUUUGCACUAUUUGAAUCGAGUGGAAGCUUUUUAAGCGAAUGGCAACCCCAAACUUCCAAUUCUUUGAGACGUGGGAGAGGCAAGGGCUUCCAGAAAAUGCUCUUCAAAUUGCGCAGUCGCUCUAACCGAAGACGCUGGAGUUUUGCAAAAGGGCUGCUUAUUAUUCCCGUCAUCUCAGGAAUGUCAUCAAACUCUCCAGCACUGAUUAUUUCUUCCAUGUCAUCGCAAAGCCUUACGGAAAUAGACUUGAGGUUUGGAGCAAAAACGAGGAAUGUCAAGUGUUUCAAAUUUCUGCAACUGUCUACGGUAACUUCCUCUAGGCUGCGGAAAACAUAAGGUUGGCGAGAUUUUUGUACCAUAACUUUGCAGUCAAUCUUCAGUCCCCCAGACCAAUCACAAGAACGAAAGUAUAAUGUAUUGAGCUGCUCUAGAUCGGCUAAAUCUGCAACAUCAAUCGACUCCUCCCUAUCGAACUCAUCGAGCAUAAGAGCUUUGGUAGAACUUCGUAACUUCUGUGAGCUCAAAAAUGUUUGGUAAGCCUUAAAACUCCUGAAGCUGAUGUCCAGUACCUCUAAAAAUUUCAAACCGAGCAAAUCCUCUACUACAUUCUCAUACUUGAAGCAAAUCGCUCUGAAAAAUGGUCUAAUACCAAUACCAAACAUUCUCAACACACGUAACCUUGAAAAAUUAGAUAACAGUUGCUGUGGAACUUCAAAUAACUCGCGUGCCCAGUCCAAAUUCAAACAUUUAAGAUUUACCAACGCUUUUAACUCUUCGGGUAACUCUCGAACGCUUGUUUUUGAAAUAUCAAGGAGUUGUAGUGAAACCAACUUUGAGAUCCCCAUUGGUAACUGCUGUAGCGUUUCAUUAUCUGACAUCUUCAAAACUGUUAGACAAGGCAUAGACUGGAAGAAGCCACCGGUGAUCGUCCUCAACUUAAUAUCGUUAAGAAACAAAGUAAGAAGACGAGGGCAUGUAGGAACAAUUGGUAGAUUUUCAAUUGAAUUUGUCAUCAAUGAUAAUCUUCUCACCAUUUCCCAUCCUCUGACAUCUGCAGGUGCCUCCGUUAAUCCGGAACCUGCAUAAACCAAAAAGCCCUCCUUCUCCUUCUCAAUCUCACAAGUUAUCCACAAUGCCAUAUCGCGGAUGACGUCAUGCAUUUUUACUUGAUCAUCUUCUACCUCUUCCAAUAAACAUGCACGAACAAGAGUGGUCACGAUGUGGUAUCCUUGGUUUUGUGUGCCAAACUUGGCUGCAUCCAAAAACCCCUCGCAAAUCCAGCAAUCAAUCAAGUCUCUUUUAUAUAUAAUGUAAUCUUCUGGAUAUAAACAACAAUAUAAGAAACAAGAUCUGAUUGCAUCGUUUGGCAAGCAAUCAUAGCUGAAUUUUAAAAGAGGAUAUACCUCCUUUCCCAAACCCGCAAAUUCGGAAGCUGAUCUUCUUAAAACUUCAAUCGCAUAUCUCCAUUCUUCAGGAGUCUUUUUGUAGGCCAUGGCUCGACCAAUAGUAAUAAGCGCGAGCGGCAAUCCAUCGCACUCCUUUGCCACAGUUUGAGCUAGUUCAGGAAUACUAUGAUGACUCUCAAUAGUUUCUUCCCCAACCUUCUCUCGAAAUAGCUCCCAAGCAUCCCCAUCGGAUAAGCAUGCCACUUUGAACAUCCUACGAGCUUCCAUACCACCACAAACAUCAACGAAACGGGUUGUAAAUACCACUGCACUAUUUUUUGGGCUGUUACUACUACUAGGAAGAGGGACGCCUACCUUCUUUAGAUCAACCCGCUCCCAUAGAUCAUCCAACAACAAAGCAAACUUCUUCUUGCUUAAAGUCUCGAAGAUGUCCUCAGCUUUGUCUUCGAGACUUUUGUUCUUCCAUGAAUCAUUACAUAGACCUAUCUUUUUCCCGAUAGUUUCUUGAAUUUUUUCAAGCUGUAGGUCUUUGGACACCACAACCCAAAUCACAUAAUCAAAAUCUUUUGGAUUAUCAACAAAUUUAUUGUUGAUUUGGGUUAACAGAGUAGUUUUACCGACACCGCCCAUGCCAUAUAGGCCAAUUAUACCAGCUGCAGGUUCUUGUACAAGACAUCUCCAAACUUGUUCAAGUUGUGAUUGCAAGCCUACCACCGUUGGCUCAGUAGGUCUUUCAUCUGCCACAGAUUCUGGAUCUGGCACGGCCACCUCUUGAAAAACUGCUUCCCCCUUUAAGGCCUUCACAUCUCGCAGCCUUUUAACAACUUUUCUACCAAACUUGUAGCUUGACUUGCAGUUCCUGGAGCAGUAGCCUCCAAGACACAAUUUGUCAAUUUCCUGAGAGCCACCAUCUCUUCCCAUGAGUUCAUCAACUUCAGUUUUAAGAGUCUCCACCCUCGAAAGCCAAAGCUGCACUUGGUUCAGCCUCUUCAUUUUGUGUUGGUGUUCGGCAUUGAGGACCCUCGUCAUCACAUCGUUCUUUGCAGCGAUUAGUUGUUCCAAUUCAGUCGUCAAGGCAACAACAUUAUCUUUGAGGUCAGUUAUAUAUGCAGCUUUGCCAAGAGCGCAGUCUGGGCAACGAUUGAACAUUGCGCCAACAUCGCAAGAGAUUUGCAAAAUGUUACCCAUAAUGGAUCUCACUUGUAUGUAUGAAUUCAACCAAGAGAGAAACAAAGGAAUUUAACUUCACCAGUUUGAUGAACAGAAGCUGCUGUCGCGGAUUAAUUGAGAUAGAACAUUAGUUAUAUCCAAUAUUCAUCAUUUUUGGUAAACACAAGAGAAUGAAGAAAAAGAAGAAGAAAACAAAAGAAAAAGAGGCGAUCAUGAUCGGCCACCACAUAUUACAUUCAUGUAUGAUAAUCGGCCACCACAUAACUUAUCCAAUAUUCAUCAUUUUUGGUCCCACACCAUGUGCUUGACAGUUGUUUCGAUUUUAUCUCUUUUUAUUCCCCCCUUUCUUUCUUUCUUUCUUUUUGAUCAGCAUUUUUGUCUUGAUUCUUGAAUAGUUGAAUAUGUAUGUGUGUGCGGGCAUGUAAUAUAUAGUACUUAGAUUUUGUUUAAUUUUCUAUUGUUAACUUGAUUAUUUGUGGCAUUAAUUUAAUAUGAUUUACAUCUUUUUGGUUGUAGUGUUGAUGAGGUUACUUUAUAUGAUGACCCAAUUUUUUUUUUUUUUUGGUCUUCAUUUGUUUAAUUAUGAGAAAAAUAAAAUAGUAAUAAGAUAGGUCAAUUCGGGAAAACAAUUAAUGAACUAAUGUAGUAUAUCUCAUCUCACUCCCCUAGCAUAUCAAAAAUUUCCAAAAUUUGUCUUCAAUCGAUUAAACAUAAAUUUCAAAAUUCUUUAAAAAAAAAAAAAGCCAAUACCGAUCCUUUAAAGUUUAAAACAUCCAAAAAGGGAAAAAAAAAAUUCAUCUAUUAGCAUAUGGUAAAAGCAUAAUUCGACUAAAGUUGGGACAUGGCAUGUGGUAGACAUGUGGAUUGAUUGCAUAUGUUAUUUGAAUCGUUGUAUCAUCAGCUUUGCAUUAUUAAUAAGUUUUUUUUUUUCACCCAAAUUCUUCCAAGAAUUAUGCGUAUAUUUUUUAGCAUAAUUGUUGGCUGAUCAGAAACUCUCGAAAGUUGGCCUAUAAUUUAGAUUAAACCAACAAUUAACAUGAGAAGUUAGGCUGGCAGGACAAUGGGAACCAACUCAAAUCUGGUUCCAUUAGCAAGUAGCAGCCAAAUUCCGAGAUUUUCAACAAUUUUGAACCAAUCCCAAAGGAGAUUUAGUUUACUAAACAAGAUUUCUCUUUGUCACUAACCGUGCAUGCCGCUUCUUAAUAAUUAAGAUCUACAUAAAUGACUUUUAAUUUUGUAUGAUGAUCUCUUCCUCUUUGGAACAGAUACUUAAAUUUUAUUCAUCGUGACUGUGCUGAUAAAAAUCAAUAGUAAUCAAUCUUGUAUUUAAGUACACUCAACCAAUUAUGUUUUCUUACAUAAUUGUUUAGAAAUAAAGAACUAUAAUUACCUCCAAAAUCAAGCAAAUAAUAACCAAUAUGUUAUAUUUUUUAAUUGAUUUUUUCCCCUUCAAAUAAUGGAUUACUAUCGGUUUGGCAUAUGGUAAAAGCGUAGUCGCAACAAAUAGAUUCUUGAAAGAGUGGUGCUAUUGGCACCUUCUUAAAACUCAAUGAAACCCCAUUUUCAUGGUUAUAGCUUUAUUCUUAGUUAAAAUUACAUAACAGGACAAAAGAAAUUUAAUUAAAAUUAAAAUUUAAUUUCUUUUUGUUACUAAUUCUUCAAACCCAAUAAAUUAUUUUAUUAGGAUUUUUGUUAUUUUUGUCUUUAAUUUUUUUUUUGUAUGUAAAAUAAGUGCCCACUUGGUGAAGAAAAUCCAAUAAUUUGAUAAAAAUCUGAUAAAUUACUUGGACCUUUUUUUUCUUAAUUAUUUCUAAAAUCAUUUUGGAACUAAAAAAAAAUUGAAUCCCAUAUAUAUUAGAUACUGAAAAUAAAGAGUUAAUGAUGUGUGGGUAUGAACUGCGAAGAGUCAAAAAGAAAAUACGUACAUGGAUUGGGGUUUAAUAAUUUUGUAUUUGUAAUUUUAUGUAAUUUUCUGUUGUGAAAGAGCUGUUAAUGUGAAAACGGGGUUUCAUAAGAAUAUUGAGGGGGUGCCAAUAGUAUUACUCUUCUUGAAAAUCAUAUGAGAAAGACAAACAGCCCAAAAACAAAGUGCCUAUAUCUUUAAAUUUAUUAUAGAGUAGUCAUUUUUAUUAUAUUUUUUUAAAUUGCUCUACCUUUUUUUUUUUUCAAAACCUUAACUAAAAUAUUAAAAUUGUGAAAAUUAGGGAUCUGCUCAGGAUGAUAUUCUGAGUCCCAUUUUCAUUUUCAUUUACUAAAAAUAAGUUGAACAACUGUUCGGUAUAAUAUUCUAAUAAAAUGAAUUAUGAAAUAAAAAAAUACAGAUUUUACUUUUGUUUACUCAAAAAGUUGAAGAACGACAUUCUUAUGGUUUUGUUGAAUUUCAAGAAUGGAAGCUAUUCUCUCAUCUUUAUCUUAGAUUAGCGUCCAUGGUAAUUAAAAUGGUUUUUGUAUCAAAUUGAUAAGAUUGAAACAUCUAAUGCUGCAAUGGCUUUUGUGAUUAUUUUAAAUUUGAAGUUAAAAUUUGAUAAAAAUAAUAAGUUUUAUUGAGCAGAAGAUGAGUGGAAGGACUUUUUCUUUGAUUUUUAGCCGAACAAAAAGACAAAAUAAAAUGUUCAAAGACUUUAAAAAAAAAAUGUCGUCAUAUUUUGCUUGUACCAAUGAAACAGCAGUUGUGAAAAAGGAUUAAAAUAAUAUUUUCAAAUGAGAUUUUUCUCUAUACCUUAUCAUACCUUUUAUUUGAAUAUCUUUUUUUAUAUAUAAGUUUAUGAUUUCAUUUAUCAGAUGCUCUAUAAUAUAUUUCAUUUACUGAAAAUUUUUAUUAUUAAAUGUAAUGAACAAUUUAAUUUUUUUAUAAGUGUUUACUGUGUGAUACCAAAAAAUAAAUAAACUCUAAAUAAUCCAUUGACAUAAAUAUAAACUAUAUGUUUAAGUUAAAAAAAAAAAGUUUCAAUCCAAUGCUACCGAACAAGUAUUACAGUUUUUAUAUUUAAAUAUAAGUUUCAAAAACUCAAACUGAACACAUAUUUAUAUUUAGAAUACCGGUUUCAAAAACAUCAUUUUUAUUUUUGUUUUUGUUCUAUAAAAACAUCAAUUGACAAUAAUAAAGACAAAGAAUUGAAAAUUUUAAUAAGAAUUAAUCUAACUACUCUCUUUAAAAGGAAAAAAAGAAAAAAGAAAAUAUCUAACUACACUCACUUUCUAAAAUAUAUAAAUACAUAUAAUUACACUAAAACCCCUAUAGAUUUUUAUUUUACCAAACAAUUAUGUGAUUAAUAUUUAUUUAUAAAAUAUAACAAUUAUGUGAUUAAUAUAAUAUUAAUUUUAUAAUCUCAACUCAAUGGUCAUAUCAAGAGCAUAUUUGAUUAUUUUAUUUUCAAUCUAUAAUUGAGACAUCACACCCUGGAGUUAAAGCGGUUGUUAUCAUUUUGUUUUCUGAUUUAAUUUCUAUUUUAAAAAUAAUUUUAGACCCCGUGAGCAAUCCAACGAAUGAUUUGCGAGUUUGGAGGAGUCCAUUCAUAUGGGGCCCACUGGUCGUUUGAUGAUUGAUUAUGUCACAUGAUUCCUGCCACAUACGAUUAUUAUCCACCCUUUAUCUCCUUUUUUUUCUUUAAUAAAUAAUCCUCUUUACUCAUUUCACUUCCAAUUUCAUGUUCAUGCCCUUACACUAUUGAUUUAUCUAUUUUUUAUUUUAGACAUUUUUUUUGUUACUCUUCCUCAUGUUAUUGUCCCUUUCUUUUUCUUUUCCUUAGCAGUAAUGUUCCAAAUUAAAUCGAGAAACAAAGCUAUAAAUGAUAGAACUUAUUAGUUCGAUAAUUUAUAAACUCGCAAUAGAUGGUACUCAUUUUCAUUCCUAGAUGAAUGCAACACGUCCGCGUACAGAAUACGUCGAAGUUUGGGAAGAACGUGGCCCUAAGACAUUUUUAGUAAGAUUAGGAGUUUAACUGAUAUUUAAUUCCUUUAAAACGUGAAGUUUACAUUUUGCACCCUUUGAAUUUACAGUUUCUUAUGUUUGGCAUCUCAAUUUGGCUUCUCUCUAAUAUGGUCCACAUUAUACCAAAAUUAUAUUUCCACCACUAAAUGUGACAGUACUGAAAAACUAUUUGAAGUCGGAAAGUUAGUGAAUUUUGAUUUAUUUUUUAGGAUAUUUUUAAAGUAUUAUAUAGACGAAAAUUAACUAUCUACCUAACUAAUCAAGCGAGCAAUUUAAACUUUAGACCUCUUUUACAUCAACGGGUUAUGUUUGGCUGACUCAAUUUGUCAAUAACUAGAUAGAUGUUAUGACAGACUCAAUUUGGGGCAGAUUCUAGGGUAAGAAAACUGAAAAUGCCUAUUUUCGAAGGUGAGGAUGCAUAUGGAUGGGUGUAUAGGGUAGAGCACUAUUUCGCCAUCAAUGGACUCUAAGAAAGGGAAAAAUUGAUGGCGGCGGCAUUAUGUUUGGAGGAAAAGGCCUUUGCGCGGUUUCAAUGGCGAGAACAACGACAAUCGUUGAGGUCAUGGGGUGAGUCUAAAGAUCGGCUAUUGGAGAGGUUUCAGGGCACUCAAGACGGAGAUUUGCAUGAACAAUUUUUUACUCUGACCCAAGAUAGAACGGUUAUGGAGUACAAGGAGAAGUUUGAGGUGCUAUCAGGGCGUUUAUGGGGAAUUCCAAAGGCGGUAUUGGAAGGGAAUUUUAUGAAGGGACUGAAGCCAGAUAUCCGAGCCUCGCUACACUUGCUAAGGCCGAGAGGGCUAGGGGAGUUAAUGGAGUUGGCACAAAUGAUUGAGGAUAAGAACACAGUAGAACGGGUUAAUAGGAGCAAUUCAGUCAAUUUUUCAUACCAAAACAGCUCGCCAUUGGUAGGACAAAAAACCCAGACUUUGGGGUUUCAACAAGAGUUCCAAAGUACACCACUAGGAGGCCAGAAAAUGCAAAUGGUGGAUUUACAGAGAGAUUCCCAAAGGGAUUGGGAUAGUGGGGCACGACUCGGGGUGACUUUUGAACGCCUCAUGGAGACAGAGAUUCAGGAUAAGAGGGCGAAGGGGUUGUGUUUUCGAUGUGAUGAGAAAUUUUCACUAGGGCAUCGAUGUAAGGAUAAAUCACUACAAGUCCUGACUUUGUGUGAUGAGGAAGAAGGCCGGAAAGAAGCCGAAGAAGAAGCCGCAACAGUUUCCUAGAUUUCACCUUGAGGACAAGGUGUCUUUUUGGGAGGGGAGUAAUGUUUGACCAAUGAAAAUUUAAGUGCAAUUAUAAAGAGGCAGGGGCACUUUAGUAAUCUUAGGGGCGGGGGGCAGUUUAGUAAUUUUAUUAUUAAUUAGGGUUCAGGUAUAAAUAAGAGAUUAUGGAGUCACCUAAAAUUUAUGUUGAAUUUUAUCUAGUGUUAAGAAGAGUUAGGAGCUUUGGGAGAGAUUGACCUACCUCUCGAAUUGUAGGUCAAGAUUAUUAUUUAUUUUUAUUAAUCAAUAAAAAAAAUCAGCCCUAAUUCACCCCUAAGUCCUGCCAUAACGGAAUUUGUGUUAUUGACCUCUUCUUUUUUCCCUUUUCCUUCUUGUAACAACUUCUUUAUGAAACAUGUCUCUGCGUCUGGCUCUUGUCUUACUAUGAACCUGCACAGGAGUACUUGGCAACUACUAGAACCCUGCCACGACUAAUAGAUGUUGUUAAGAGUUCCACAAAGGAGAAGGUGAGAUCUGGUUUCUUGGUAGUAUUUAAUUUUAGCAAAGGCUCACUGCUGCACAAGAUGAGUCUCAUCCACUUGAAUACUAUUAACUUGUUAUACAUACGUAUAUUUAAAUAUAUAUAUAUAUAUUGGCUUGUGGUAUAAGUAGGCUAUUUUCUUUUCCAAAAGAAUACGUUCUUUUGUUCAUAUGGUUAUUAAGAUAUGCAUAUCCUGCUAGGUUGUCAGGGUAGUGGUCUUGAUCCUUAGAAACUUGCUUCCCAAAGGUAAUUUUGCUGCUGAAAUGAUAGACCUUGGGCUACCUCAAGUUGUUCAAAGUUUAAAAGCGCAAGCAUGGAGUGAUGAGGUAAGAGAAGUUGCUCGCUGUUUAGUUUUUCUUUUUCGGCUGAUUGCAUAAUUAUUUAGUUAAUAGAUCGAGUAAAAUUAAGGGAGUUGAUGGCGCUGUUUGCUACUGAUUGGUGCAUUUGGUGAUCAUUUUAUAUGGAUUAAAAAUUUACUGCGGGUUCUGUUAAGUAUGGUGUGGUAGAAUAGUCAGUUGCUUGUGUGAUGACAAAAACUACUGUUAUUUUUGUUCAUUAUAUGAAUAUUAGUGUUGUUUUGGUGCAUAAUUGAUUAUGAUACCAUUACGCCCUAUUAUUCCUUUGUUCAGCAUGGAAUAAUUUUGUUUCAAUCCACACUUUGAUUGAAGCUCUGGCCGGCGAAAGUGCUGACUACUAUUGCACGGACCUACACUAUCUUUGACAACUUUAAGACAUUUAUCCUAGGACAAUGUUACCUCUAAUGGCUGACAAAUGCCUGCUUUAUUUAAUUCUCAAGCACCUGUCAUCUGAGCAAUGUUAACUCAAUUAAUUGUGCCUUUUUUAUUACCACAUAUUUUCUUUGGCCUUGAACCAUUCAAUUUUGCCAAGGCUUGACUCUUUUUCCUCAUGAUGAACUGAAGCUGUAUACUGAUUUUGUGGAAUCUUGGUAUCCAACACAAAAUGAAGAUUUCAGCCUUCAAAUUUAUAAUGCACGAUAUUAGAUUGAGUUUGGGUGGCUCCUGAAUAAUAUGCCAAAAAGAAUUGAGUCUUGACCACCAUUGCUGAAUUUUGUUUAACCUUUAACACAAUGAUGACUUCAUCUUGCCACAUUUACAUAUAAUAGAUUUCAAUAUCUUCUUAGGAUUUACUAGAGGGUCUGAAUCAACUGGAAGAAGGUUUGAAGGAUAAUAUCAAGAGAUUGAGUUCUUUUGACAAGUACAAGCAAGAAGUCCUCCUUGGCCAUCUCGACUGGUCCCCUAUGCACAAAGAUCCCCUAUUCUGGCGUGAUAAUAUCACAAACUUUGAAGAAAAUGAUUUCCAGGUAUUUCUUUUCCCUAUGGACGGUGUUUCUAGUUUUUAUUUUUCAUUUUUUCUGCUUUCACCGCACUGAAUGACUCCUGCUAAUAUCUGUAUCGUCUCGUUCAGCAUCAUUUUGUAUAAAUACCUACAAAGUUUCUGUAAUACUAAUGGAUAAUCUUCUCUCUCAGAUUCUAAGGGUCCUCUUAAACAAUUUUGGAUACAUCCAGUGAUCCACGAGCUCUUGCUGUCGCUUGCUUUGAUCUCUUACAGUUUAUCCAGUACCAUUCAGCUGGGCGGGUCAUUGUGACAGACCUCAAAGCCAAGGAACGGGUGAUGAAAUUGAUGAACCAUGAGAAUACCGAGGUUACCAAGAGCGCCUUACUCUGCAUCCAAAAGCUUUUCCUAGGCGCAAAGUACGCGAGCUUUUUGCAGGCCUGAAUUUUCUUUCCAUGGGGUCCAGUAUUGUUUACAAAGGAAAUGCUUGUAAUGAUUUGAUUCCAGUUUGGCUGUGGUUAGGUUGUUUAUUUAUUUAUCAAUCAUUGGAGGAAUUUAUGAAUCAGGGGAACUCGUCUGUUGGAUUUUUUAAAGUACUGUGAAGAAUUAGUUGAUUUUUUACCAUAUUUUGGAAAUUUAUUUUGUUUUUGAGAUGAGGAAUAAAUUGAUACCAUCUGUACUGACCUUUGAUAUGAAAACUACUCGAGCGCAUGAUAUAUAUCUGUUUUUGUUCAUUUCUGUAUCUUGCUGCUGACUGAAGCUGGAUUUUCAAGCUCGUUAUUAUCAUCUAUUCUUUUGAAGUUGCAAAAUGAAUUCUCAAUAUUUUCAGGGGAAAUGCUUAUAAUUAGCGCGGAAUUAUACAUUGAUUGUGUACUGUAUACUUCCAAAAAGGCAAUUUAUUUCCAUUGAUUUGAGUAAACUAAAUCUCCGUGAUGGUAACACUUAUUUAAUCACUAAUUAAAGAAUUCUUUGAAAAUUUGAUGAUUGUUGUUGAAAACAUUUACUAAUUGUAAAUGCGUUAAAAAUUAAUACAAUAUUGAGAAUUCAAACAGCUCAUCUUCUUGCUGCUUUCACCCUUCCUUCUUCGUUUGCCAUCGUCACGACGACCAAAAAAGGUACCCACCCCACUCCCUCUUUUGAUCAUCAUUUCGCAUACACUUUUCUUCAAUUUAAUUUUUUUAUUUUUUUUCUCAUGUACCCUUGUGAUUCUUUUGCAUUCUUUAUUGGAUGUUAUUAAUUAUUAUAAAAAAAAUUCUAAAAAAUAAAUAAAAUUCACGGCAGCUAGGAGUUGAACGAAACUCUUGAGUCCAGUCCUGUUUAGUAGGAUUCUUUGAUUUACAAAGCAUCGAGUAAUCAGAUUUGCUGGGCAUUCAUUUUGCUUUGUUAUGUUUCCAUGUAUCAAUUUUCAGUUCAUACCAAAUCUACUUUUUGAGGUUCAUUAUUCAUUUCCUUUAAUUCUUCGUCAUUGGGUUUCUACUGCAUUGUAAUGCUCCACACAAGGUUAGACUCCUUGCAAGGCACUUCUAUUCUAUGCUAGCUUUUCAUAUCACGCUUUUCAUAACAUGAGUUGGACUGAGUGUUGUGCGCGGAAUGCGGAAUCAAGCGCACCAAAUAAUUACUGAAAAAUAAAGGACACAAGAAUUUACGUGGUUCGGUAAUUAAACCUACAUCCACGGAGGCAAGAAAGAAUAAUUGUUUAUUUAACAAUUAAUAGAGUACAAUAUUUGAGUAACGAAUCUCACUUCCCAGAAACCCAAAUAUACCCAGUACUCUCUCACUCUGCAGGAAAGAUAAAUUCCCCAGACACACUUCUCUCACUUCUCUCAAAGCUUAGAAACUUAUAAGCUUAACAAUUUUGGGAUGAUUUCAAAUGAAUGAAAUCCUUAGCUAUUUAUAGGAGAAAUGAAUUACUAUGCUAAGAAUAAAAUAAUUAAAAAUAUAAUUUUUAAUUAUUAUUAUUUUUCAAUUUUUCAACAAAUUGUUGGUGCACCAACAAUUUGUUGACUUCAACAAAUUUGCACCAACAAUUUGUUGACUUCAACAAAUCUCCACCUCGGCGAAAAUUUAUCCAAAUCUGAGCCGAUUGACAAUAAUCCGCCAAACUUCAUCCCUCACAUGAUCCUCAAAAGGAUCAACAUUGGCUGCAUCUAUUCGACUGCCUACGUACCCCAAGGUUGGGAUCAAGCCUGCCGUAGUUCCAAAAAUUCUCCAAACUCAACGCAUUCGAAGAAUUAAUUUCAAUCCGUAUAAAGAUUUACUCAAUCUGCACACACGAUUUUCCUUUCCAGCAACUUUGAAACCACAAGACUGAAUCAUAUAGCUUUCCUCCUCCAAAUCUCCAUGUAAGAAUGCCGUCUUCACAUCCAACUGAGUCAACUCUAACUCGUAUUCUGUAACUAAGGCAAGUAGGAUACGAAUGGAAGUAUGUUUUACAACUGGAGAGAAAACUUCAUUGUAGUCAAUACCUUCCUUUUGAGCAAAACCUUUUGCCACGAGCCUUGCCUUGUAUCGAGGAGUUGUUUGAUUCGGAGAUCCUUGCUUUUUAGUGUAGACCCAUUUAUUGCCAAUAGCCCUUUUCCCCUUUGGUAACUUUACAAGUUCCUCCAUGGCUAACUUCCACUGAUCACUUUCACCGCUGCGUAAUGCUUUACCGAAAGUGUUGGGGAUGUCAUCAUCAAUAACUGGAAGUGCAUAGGCUACCACCAUAUCUUUAGUAAGCCAUCCGGGUUUCUUUAUCUCUCUUCUUGGCCUCCUUGUUGCUAUAAAAUCAUCAUUAUCUACAUCAUCAAUUGUUUCUUCAUUUUGUGGGACAUCAGAAGAAACAACCUCUUCUUCAACUCUAGGUGUCACAUCCAUAGUUGAACCAUUCAUUGAUGUAGAACUAACUGGUACAUAUGGAGUUGCAUCAAAUUCCACCCGCUGCAAUACCUCUGUGGUCUUGUUCUCCACCUGCUGAGAACUUGAAGCUUUUAUCAUUGAAACUUCAUCAAAUGUGACAUCUCUACUACACACAAACUUUUUAUCUUCGAGAUCCCAAAGCUUGAAACCCUUUACUCCACCUUUGAAUCCCAUAAAGAUAGCUUUUCUAGCACGAGAAUCCAGUUUACCAUCUUUGACAUGAUAACAAGCUGGACACCCGAAUAUACGAAGGGAAUCAUAGUCUUGUGCAUGCUUUCCAGACCACAUUUCCAUAGGGGUUUUACCUCCAAUUGCAGCAGAAGGCAACCGGUUUACCAAGUGACUUGCGUAGCUCACAGCUUCAGCCCAAAACUUUUUAUCUAAACCAGCAUUAGAUAACAUACAUCGUACCUUCUCCAGUAAAGUACGAUUCAUACGCUCAACCACACCGUUCUGUUGCGGAGUAUGUCUCACCGUGAAAUGUCUUUUAAUACCCUCGUUCUGGCAUACUUGCAAGAAUGGAUCAGAAGUAUAUUCACCCUCAUUAUCAGAUCGUAAUACUUUGAUCUUUCUGCCAGUUUGAGUCUCCACCAAUUUCUUCCACUUCACGAAAAUCUCUAGAACCUCAUCCUUUGCUCGCAUGGUGUACACCCAUACACGUCUAGAGAAAUCAUCAACAAAUAUAACAAAAUAAUGGCUUCCACCAAUUGAUGCAGUCUUGGUUGGUCCCCAUACAUCACUAUAAACAUAUUCAAGGAUCUCACGAGUAUCGUGAUUAGCUGUACCAAACUUGACCCUUGUUUUCUUGCCUACUACACAAUGCUUACAGAAAUUUAAUUUACAGGUUUUGGUACCUUUUAAGAGUCCAUGCCUCAUCAGAGUUUGCAAAGACUUCUCUCCUGCAUGUCUCAAUCGUACAUGCCAUAGCUUGGUGGUGUCACUGUGCGCCUCAACAACAUUUGCUUCAUCAGUUGUACCUCCCUUCAAAUAGUACAGAUUGUGACGCCGAACCCCUUGCAGAAUCACCAUAGCCCCAUGUGUAAACUUCAUUGUGCCAUCUUCAAUGGUAACUUUGUAACCUUUAGCUUCCAAAGCACCCACAGAAAUUAGAUUUUUCUUUAUCUCUGGAACAAAUCUAACCUCUUUGAGUUCUCUGACCAUUCCAUCAAACAUUUUGAGCCGAAUUGUUCCUAUCCCCAUUGUGCGACAAGGUUGAUUAUUCCCCAUCAUAACUGCACCAGAUUCCAGAUUACGAAAAUCCGUAAACCAUUCCUUAAUAGGAUACAAAUGAUAGGUUGCUCCUGUAUCAAGUAUCCACUCACUCGAACUAGCCACAUAUGCUGCAGGAGUAAUACUUAGUGAAUAAUCAGAGUUCUCAUCUUUCCGUGCCAUGUUUGCUGCUGCUGGUUUCUUCCCAUCUCUCUUUUGAGCCUUUGGACAAUCUUUUCUCCAAUGGCCAUUUUCAUGACAAAAGGCACACUCAUCUCGAGCUAUAUUUCUGCUUCUCGAUUUGGAUCGAGAAUUCUUUCCACCACGCUUCUUUUGUUUCUCUAUCGCCCAAUCUCUGCUCACCAAAGCUUCAGACGAUGCUCGUUCAGAAUUUUUAUCAUUAUUCCGAAUCUCCAAACUAGUCAAUGCUGUGCAAACAUCUUUAAAGACGAUCACACUCUUCCCAUAUAUCAAAGUAGUCACAAAAUGGCUAUAUUCCUCUGGUAGUGAGUGUAACAGAAUCAUAGCCUUGACUUCAUCUUUAAUAUCUUCAUCAAGAUUCUUCAAAUCAGCAAGUAACUUUUCAAAUCUUGAAACAUGAUCGUGCAUUGACACCCCAGACUUCAUUCGAAAGCCAUAUACUUGGAUCAUUGCAUGAAGACGAUUUUCAGGACUUUUCACCAGGUACUUCUCUUCCAAUGUACGCCACAAAGUCACUGCACACUCCUCAUCUUUCACCAAGUAUUUCACCUCCUUGGUCAAACAAGAUCUGAUCUGACCACAGGCUUUCUCGUUCAUACGAUCCCAAAUUUCUUCAUCAUACAAGUGUCUUUUAUUUUUCAGGACAACAUCGAGAUCGAUUUGAAUAAGGGCAUCCAUAACUUCGCGCCUCCACAUGCCGAAGUUGAUUUUCCCAUCAAACUUUUCAACAUCGAUCUUCUGGCCUCCUAUAACAGGUGCUGAAUAGCGAUUUGACAAAUCUCGCCUCCCACCUGAAGUGUCUCCUGAAAUAGUCUCGGUAGAUCUCUCCCCAAUUCUGGAAGUUUCACCUUCUACCAUUUUUUCAACGAACUAUUUCCACUUGAAAAACAGCCUCUAUGAUGUUAAUUUCGCGUGAAUAAAUGCACCAGGAAAGUUCCCAGGAAACUGGACGGGAACUCGGUCCCAAUUAAAAACCAGAAUCCUUAGACUCUUAUCGCCUUUGUUGACAGAACUUUCCUAGACAUGCAAAAAUACACACUACUUACAAUAGACUGUCUCCCAAGUACAAAUGGCCGUCUCCACCGUAUUCGUGAACAGUACCGUAUGUGAACAGUACCGUAUACGGGAAUAGUACCGUAUACGUGAACAGUACCGUAUCCCCCCAAGUACGAACCGUUGGCUCUGAUACCACUUGUUGUGCGCGGAAUGCGGAAUCAAGCGCACCAAAUAAUUACUGAAAAAUAAAGGACACAAGAAUUUACGUGGUUCGGUAAUUAAACCUACAUCCACGGAGGCAAGAAAGAAUAAUUGUUUAUUUAACAAUUAAUAGAGUACAAUAUUUGAGUAACGAAUCUCACUUCCUAGAAACCCAAAUAUACCCAGUACUCUCUCACUCUGCAGGAAAGAUAAAUUCCCCAGACACACUUCUCUCACUUCUCUCAAAGCUUAGAAACUUAUAAGCUUAACAAUUUUGGGAUGAUUUCAAAUGAAUGAAAUCCUUAGCUAUUUAUAGGAGAAAUGAAUUACUAUGCUAAGAAUAAAAUAAUUAAAAAUAUAAUUUUUAAUUAUUAUUAUUUUUCAAUUUUUCAACAAAUUGUUGGUGCACCAACAAUUUGUUGACUUCAACAAAUUUGCACCAACAAUUUGUUGACUUCAACACUGAGCUCAGUCAGUUGAUGCUCCAUGUUUUUGAUUCAUUGAAGGUACUAUGAAUUGGGACCUGAUGAUCCACCGUAUGCUGCCAAGUUUUACGACUGCUGCGGGGCCGAGGAUGCUGAUGCCUCUGGUUGUACCACUGGCUUCCAUGUCUCUUAUGAUGAUGAUUAACAUAAUUUUUACCUCCUAAUCACCUGUAACUAUAGAUUAAAUUUGUAGAUAUCUCCGUGUCUCCUCCUGUGACCCACAUCAUUUCCACUGUUCUAUCACUGUAUAAUUCAGGUCUUUCAUCAGUUAAUCUCUUCAUUUCUGAACAUUUUUUUUUUCCUGGGGUUGAUCUGGCAUGAAUUCGACAUGUGCUGCUAUGGCCAACUUUCGAGGGAUGAUGGUAAAUCUUAACCCUUUUGCAUAAACUUCUGGAAUUAGUUGGUCUGGGGAAUUGGAAGAGAAUAUACUGGAAGCCAUUGCCUUCCCACAUCUUAAGUAAAGAGUAAUGCUACUUUGACAGAAAUAGGUUUACAAAAUUUUGUCAUACUUAUGAAAUACUAAAUUACCUUUUAGUUUAUUUACAGAUAGCGAAUUGGGCUUUUUACAUAUUUUUGUAAAACUACUGGACAACUGAGCUAAAAUUAUCAAUUUUAUUUUGUAUUAGUAAAUAAUCAAAGAAUCAACCUAAACUUAUAUUCAGGAAAGAAAUAACUACAGAGGACAAAAAAUUAAUGAGGCGAUUGAAAAUUACGCCAAAAUUAAUAGUAAGGCAUUUGAGAUUGCAGUAGAACUUCUCAAUAAUCAUAUUAUUAGGAUCAAUUCAUUUUGUUGCUAUAAGGAGGUUAAAACUUUGUAGAGGUUUAGUUCAAAAUUACUAUCUUGACUUCAUUAUUCUUAGUGUAAGUAAGAUAAUUAAUAAUUAAUUAAUGGAGCGUGUCAAUUGUAUGAAGCUUCAAACAUGCUUGAAUAUUUAAAAAUAUUUUGUCUUCAACAAGAAGGUGUUUAUAUUAUCGAAUUAUUUUUGCAAUAUACAAAUAAUUAUUAUUAUGUGGAGGCAAUUUCAAAGAUGUGAUAACAAUUUUAAAGAAUAAAUCAUUAUCUCAAACAACUUUUAAAAAAUAUAUUUUUUUAUACUAAAUCUUUUAAUGUAACAAAUAUGUUUUGCAAUACACAUAUAAUUAUUAUUAUGUGGAGGCAAGUUACUAAAGUCGGGAUCUAAAACACUUAUUACAAUUAGAGUUAAUUCUUAUUUAUAAUUUACCAAAAUUAAAGUUAAAAUUUUUUUAUGACUAUAAAAGAGUUAUUUCUAUAUAGAUUAUCACUAUAAAUAUAGAGUAUCACUAUAAAAAAGUUUUACGAUCAAUCUUCCGUCAUAAUAAGUAAAAGAAUGACAAGUUUUGAGUCUCAAAUAAAUUCUAUAAAACACAACCAUGGAUUAAGAUGGUCGGGAAAUGGGAAUGCAAUACAAAGUAAUUAAUGAUACAGUCACAGUGUUUCACUUACACGUGAAGCAAGCGAAACAAGAAGAAUCUUAAGAAAAAAAACACUCACCAGAACGCAAGGUUCAAUCCCGGUUUACUACGUCGACCUCCAUUCCUCAAAGAUGUUGGAAACAGAGACGAAAAGCAUUUUGAGUGGCUUCAUCCUCCCAUUGAAGCCUUCUCCACCAGUCUUCAUGUCCACGAAUAAGAAUUCUGCGCCCAUUUGCACUAUUUGAAUCGAGUGGAAGCUUUUUAAGCGAAUCGCAACCCCUAACUUCCAAUUCUUUCAGACGUGGGAGAGGCAAGGGCUUCCAGUAAAUGCUCUUCAAACAGCCCAGUCCCUCUAACCGAAGACGCUGGAGUUUUGCAAAAGGGCUGCUUAUUAUUCCCGUCAUCUCAGGAAUGUCAUCAAACUCUCCAGCACUGAUUAUUUCUUCCAUGUCAUCGCAAUGGCUUACGGAAAUAGACUUGAGGUUUGGAGCAAAAACGAGGAAUGUCAAGUGUUUCAAAUUUCUGCAAAACCUUACGGUAACUUCCUCAAGGCUGCGGAAAACAUAAGGUUGGCGCGAUUUUUGUACCAUAUCUUUGUAGUCAAUCUUC